UUGAAAACAUUACACAAAUAGUAGUAUCGGUCCCAAGCGACGUUGGAAGGUUCUCGAGCAUUGAUUAUUUACUACAAACCCGCAUUACACAAAUGCCCGGUUUAUAGAUAUACCAACGAUUCCCGAAGGCGUCGUCAGUACUAAUCACGUUAUCCAAUCGCCCGGACUAUGAGUGGUCCCACAUCCGAAGAGAAUGAGGUCACGAAGACCCCGGUAACUCUAUUAACCGGCUGGGAAAAAUGUGUGCGAGGGGUCCCCGACCCGCCUCGUAAAAUGUGUAGACUCUUCUAGCAAUACCAUGGCCCUUGGGGUCCAAUGAUACAAGCCAUUGAAAGUCACCCUACGUUGUGCCAAGUUGGUAAAACUCAACACUUCGUAGAAAAAAAAUGUCUUCGGGCCUUAAGAUCAGGUCAUUGGGCUAGCUAGGCCCAACAAACAAGAUUUUACACUUUUGGGGCCCGAAGAUGGUGCGUAGACGUCUGUGCACACUCGUAUGUAUGUGUAUUACCAAUCGUUAUUUGUAUGUAUCAAAGAGUUAGUAGUUGUAGAUUUCCAUUGGCUCGAGACCGAGCCAAUUCGUUUAGCAACGACUUUUGGUAUUGUAAUGAGUUGUAUUUCGUUGAUAGUUGAGGUGUCAUUAUUUGAUCAAAUUGUACAUAAUGAAUCAGCCUUGAAAUAUUUCUGUUUUCAGCCCCUCAUUAUUUGUAAAAUUUACAUUUUCAACCCUUUUAUUUAAAUAUUUCCCGGUUUGGUCCUUAAACUAUUUUUCUUGACAUUUUAACACCAAAAAUUAUUGAAAUUAAUAUUUUCCAGCAUAUUUUUCAAAGAAAACAGUUUAAGUCCCUGAAAAUGCAGUUUUUCUCGGUUUUAGCCCAUCUUUUCGCAAUUUUGACAAUUUUGGCCCAAAAUGGAAAAUUUUUGCAACUUUGGUCCUUUUUAAAUUUAAAAAGCAUUUUAAACCUUUGAAAAGGGUUUGGGACACUUAUAGUCCACUGUUUUACAGAAAGUUACAGUUUUGGCCCUCCAAAACAGAAAAAUUCGCAUAAUGGGCCUUAUUGGGCCGAAAUUUUCAUUUUUAGCCCAAUAGGCUUGAAAUUUAUGUUUUUAAUCCACUAAUUGAAUAGAAUUCCAGAAAUAGUUUUAUGAAAACUGUUUUGGCACAUUCCAACCAUCAGAAUCUGUAAAAUGUCAAUUUGGGCCCUUAAUUUUGUAUUUUUCACAUUUUUGGCCCAAAAUGUGUGUUUUUAGCUUAAAGAAAAUUGUUGCUAACCACUUGGCUAUUUAUCUAGUAUCACUUAUUAUGUAGGAACAUAUUUGAAGCUAAUAUCAUAAAACAUGAGUUAUAUCUCGGUUUUGAGGGGUUUAAUGGCUAGAUCCAACAUUAAAACACAUAUAAGCAUACAUAUAAGCAUGGAAAUCAUACAAGGCAUACAAAUACAUAUAGAUCUACACUUUCACUUGUAUUCCCCCCCACAAAAACUCUUAAAAACAGAAAAUAGGGGUAUGAAUCUCACCUUGAGUGGGUAGUUUCGGUUCUUGAAGAAAAAUUGGAAGAAAUGAAGUGAUUUUUGGCCCUUGCACUCCUUGAUGAACUUUUCGAGAUUAAGGGGGUUUCUAGAGUGCAAGAUCACGGUUUUUACAUGGAUUAGGAAGAGAUUUUGAUAACAAAAGAAUUUAAACCAUAGAUCUAUGAAUAAUCUUACCUUAGAUGAUGAUUUACUUGCAAAAUCCUCUUGGAAAGUCCCUAAAUUUCGAGAUCUUUGGAGAGGGAAGAAGAGAGUUUCCUUGAGUGAACUAGAGAGAAUUUGUGAGAGAUUUUGUGUGUGUGGGUGUGUAUGGCCGAGAGUGAGAGAGGAGAGAAGAAGAAAUGACUUUUGAAGUGAUAUGCAUGGAGAUAUGGACUAAGGUGCAUGGAAACAUGUUGGGUAAUAAUGAGGUGGCAAGCAAAUAGUCAACUCUUCCAUUUCUCUUUGGGUGUGGGCCUUGGGCCGAGAAUUUGAAAGAAAAAAAAGAUUUUUGGGCCUUUUGGCCCUUAAGCCCAAUAUUAGUGGUAAUUAGGGUGUGUUUUAAGUCUAAGGAGUGUGGUAGGAUUUUUAUGUUUUUCUUGAACUAGUUUUAGGUUAUUCAUGUAUCAAGGCUUUUAAUUUAUUUAAUUCUAGGCCCAACAUGACCUAAAAUGUUAAAAUAAAUAAGUGUGGGUCCAAUUAGAGCCCAAUUAGGGUUCUAAGCCCAUGAUAGUCUAAUUGGAAGCUUAUUGGCCCAUUUGGAUCCAAUAAGGAAGUUCUAGCCUAAAUUAGACUUAACAAGAACUUCUAGGGUCUCCAAUUGUUUGAUGACUAUUUGUAGUUCUAGCAUGUUGUAUUUGAUUGAAGUUUUUGAUUCACAUUAACUUGAAUGUAUAGAUUACAUGGCUCAAAAUUUACAGUUGUGACAUCAUCCCCCCGUUAGAGGGAAUUUCGUCCCGAAAUUCUGUUUGAAAGCUAGAUUUGAGAAUGCUAGAAUAGGUGAGGGUACUUCUGCUUCAUUUGAUCUUCGCGUUCCCACGUGAAUUCUGGCCCACGCUUUGCGUUCCACCGUACCUUCACGAUCGGGAUGCGACUUUGCUUAGUACGCUUCACCUCCCUGUCCAUGAUUUCGAUUGGUUCUUCGACGAACAGGAGAUUCUCAUUGAUUUCGAUUUCGUCAAGAGGAAUGACAAGGGUUUCAUCUGAUAGGCACUUUUUCAGAUUAGAAACAUGAAACACGGGGUGCACACCGUUUAGCUCCGGGGGUAGUUGUAGUCUGUAGGCUACCGGACCUAUUCGGGCGACGAUUUCGAAAGGUCCAAUGUACCGUGGGUUUAGCUUUCCUCGUUUUCCGAAACGUAUAACCCCUUUCCAGGGUGAGACCUUCAACAAUACUCGAUCACCGACCUGGAAUUCUAAGGGCUUUCGCCGUUUAUCAGCGUAGCUCUUUUGCCGGUCACGCGAUGCCUGUAAUCGAGCUUUGAUCUGGACAAUCUUUUCUGUGGUCUCGCGAAUGAUUUCCGGUCCUGUCAUUGCCCUAUCCGACGUAUGUGUUCUUGCUAGCUGGGUGUCACCUACUUCAGCCCAACAUAACGGUGAUCUACAUUUACGCCCGUACAGUGCUUCGAAAGGGGCCACCUUAAUGCUCGAAUGAUAACUAUUGUUAUAUGAAAACUCGAUCAACGGUAGGUGGGUAUCCCAAGACUUUCCGAAGUCUAUCACACAUGCACGAAGCAUGUCUUCAAGCGUCUGAAUGGUUCGUUCGCUUUGACCGUCCGUUUGUGGGUGAUACGCGGUGCUCAUAUCAAGAUGAGUUCCCAUGGCCUUGUGGAGCGACUGCCAAAAGCGUGACGUGAACCUACUGUCCCUAUCCGAGAUGAUAGAUUUUGGCACUCCAUGAAGUCUUACAAUCUCUCGUAGGUACAAACGCGUCAGCCUCUCCAUCUUGUAGGACUCUUUGAUUGGCAGGAAAUGGGCAGAUUUCGUCAGUCGGUCGAUUAUUACCCAUAUGGUGUCCAAUCCGUCCGACGUCUUGGGCAGCUUGGUCACGAAGUCCAUAGAAAUCCCCUCCCAUUUCCACUCAGGGAUUGCCGGUUGCUGUAACAAUCCGGAAGGUUUCUGGUAUUCCACUUUUACUUUGGCACACGUAAGGCACUUACUAACAUAAGUUGCGAUUUCCGCCUUCAUGUUAGGCCACCAAUAGUGCUGCUUAAUGUCCAAAUACAUCUUGUCCGAACCAGGAUGAAUGGAGUAUCGUGUCUUGUGGGCUUCCUUCAUAACGGUCUCUCUGAAUCCUCCGAUUUUUGGAACCCAAAUACGGUUCAUGAAGUAGUAUACCCCAUUCUCUUUGACUUCCAGGUUCUUCUCCAUUCCGCGCAAUGCCUCGCUAGUUCUAUUUUCCGCUUUCAUAGCCUCUGCCUGGACUGAUGCAAUUUGAGUGGUCAGAUGAGACUGAAUGGUUAUCGAGUGCGUUUUCGUACGGCGAUUUGUGUAUUCCUUCCGACUUAAUGCGUCAGCUACCACGUUGGCCUUGCCUGGAUGGUACUUGAUCUCGCAUUCGUAGUCGUUUAACAAUUCCACCCAUCUUCGUUGUCUCAUGUUCAGCUCCUUCUGAUUCAAGAUGUGCUGGAGGCUCUUGUGGUCUGUGAAGAUGGUGCACUUAGUACCGUACAGGUAGUGCCUCCAAAUUUUUAGGGCGAAGACCACGGCUCCCAGUUCUAGGUCAUGGGUCGUGUAAUUUACUUCGUGCGUCUUUAGUUGACGGGACGCAUAUGCUAUCACUCUUCCACGUUGCAUGAGAACGCAACCUAAGCCUUGAUUUGACGCGUCACAGUAAACUACAAAAUCUUCCGUUCCUUCAGGUAGAGAUAGUACAGGAGCGCUGCAAAGAGCUUGCUUCAAGGUUCGAAACGCAAUCUCUUGUCGGUCUGUCCACUUGAAUGGCACGCCCUUUUGCGUAAGCAAGGUAAGCGGCUUGGCGAUCUUAGAGAAGUUUUGGAUGAAUCUCCUAUAGUACCCUGCUAGGCCUAAGAACUGACGAAUUUCUGUGGGCGUAGUCGGAGUUGCCCAUCCUUCCACAGCUUUGACCUUAGAGGGAUCCACAUGAAUUCCAUCUUGGCUAACUACGUGGCCUAAGAAAUUCACACUCCGAAGCCAGAACUCGCACUUGGAGAGUUUGGCGUAAAGCUUUUCCGUGCGCAGAGUCUCUAAAAUUUGUCGGAGAUGUCGGCCAUGCUCCUCUUUGCUUCGAGAAUAGACGAGGAUGUCAUCGAUAAACACAAUGACGAAGUUGUCCAGGAACGGUCGACAGAUUCGAUUCAUUAGGUCCAUAAAUGCGGCAGGUGCAUUUGUUAGACCGAAGGGCAUUACGACGAAUUCAUAAUGUCCAUAGCGGGUUCGAAAAGCGGUUUUUGGAAUAUCCUCUUCUCGGACCUUGAGUUGGUGGUAUCCGGAUCGUAAGUCUAUUUUAGAAAAAUAGCUAGCUCCUUGGAGCUGGUCGAAUAGAUCAUCGAUUCGCGGGAGUGGGUAGCGGUUUUUGACAGUGAGUUUGUUCAACUCUCUGUAAUCGAUGCACAUUCUGAAAGAUCCGUCCUUCUUUUUGACAAAGAGCACCGGAGCUCCCCAUGGCGAGUAGCUAGGUCGGAUAAAUCCCUUGUCCAGAAGCUCACUGAGUUGGCUGGAUAAUUCCUGCAUUUCAGCAGGUGCCAACCGAUAUGGUGAUUUAGCGAGGGGAGUUGCUCCUGGAACGAGGUCGAUUCGGAAUUCAACCUGUCUCUCUGGGGGUACUCCUGGAAGAUCUUCGGGAAACACGUCCGGAAAUUCACACGCUACCGGAAUGUCUUGGAUGUUAGUUUCUUCUUUGGUCUUGUCCACUAUGUGAGCCAAGAACGCCAAAUUGUUCUUUCGCAAGUGUUUUUGCGCUUUGAUGCACGAGAUGAGGCGGAGAUUCGUACUGGGUUUGUCUCCGUAAAUUACUAGGGUUUCGUGAUUUGGGAGACGAAGGCGAACGGCCUUCUCGUGGCACAAAAUCUCAGCAUGGUGGGGGCUUAACCAAUCCAUGCCGAUAAUCACAUCGAAACUCCUAAUUGAUACUGGCAUUAGGUCUAUUCGAAAGACGUGCUGGUUAAGGGUUAGGGUACAUCCGAUGUAGAUCUCCCUAGUGGAUUCGGUUUUCCCAUUGGCCAUUUCCACCGUAUAGGUUUCAUUUAGCUUCUGGGGUUGUUGUUUUAGUAAAUGUUUAAACUUCUCGCUUACGAAACUUCGCUCCGCUCCGGUAUCAAAUAAGAUGCAUGCAUAAGUGUGGUUUAGGAGAAACGUACCGGUCACAACUGCGGGAUCUUGAACUGCAUCACUCUGACCCAUAGUCAGCAUUCUUCCUGUUCCUCUGUUUCCGGAGUUGUUGUUGUUGUUAGGGCAAUCUCGACGGAAAUGUCCCGUCCUUCCACACCCGAAACAGGUGUGGCUAGGCCCUGCGUUGUUGCCGCCGGCAUUGGUGUUGUUGGUAUUGCGGUGGUUGUUGUUGUUGUUCUGGUUGUUUCCCUGACUCUGGUUCUGAGAAGGAUAAGUCCUGCAGAACUUUGCAGUGUGUCCCCUUCGAUUGCAACUGGUGCAAUGGAACUCCCUACAUUCUCCUUGGUGAUGGAAACCGCACUUGUUGCAUUUGGGAUGAGUGCCGGAAUAGGGUCUUGAAGUAUUUGAAGUAGCUGAGGCUGGAGCAUGUGAUGUGACUGGUACCGGCGCAGUGACAGCGUGAACUGCCACCGUUUGCUGCUUUUUAGAGGUCUCGGGACCCUGACGCCCCUUCCUCUUGUUGUUCCAUCCUUUCUUACCAUCACUCUCCUUCUUCUUCUCAGUCUCUACCGGUUUCUCGCCCUUUUUGUGGUUAUGAUCAUAUAGCCUCUUUGCCAAUCUCUUCGCACUGUCAAAAGUUUCAGGGUUCGCAGCUAUCACAUUCCCUUGAAUGGGGGAUGUCAGUCCCCAAAUGAAUCGUUCAAUCUUCUUCCCCUCUGAUGUGAUCAUACCCGGGCACAACAGAGAUAGUUCGCUGAAUCUCGAUAUGUAAGCAUCGAUGUUCCCAUUCUGCACCGUGAGAUUCCAUAGUUCCUGCUCCAUCUUCUGUAUUUCGCCUCGGGGGCAGUACUCAGCCGUCAACAUCUCUUUCAUCUCUGCCCAGGGAAUAGAGUUGGCGACAGGGAGUGUCAUAGCUUCCACAUGACCAUUCCACCAAGUGAGUGCUUGGUCCACAAAAGUGCAGGCCGCGAACUUCACUUUCAUCUGCUCGGGGCACUCGCAUAUCUCGAAUACCGACUCUACCUUCUCGAUCCAUCGCUUUAGGGCGAUCACUCCUCCGGUACCGUUGAAAGUUCGGGGUUUAGCGUUCGCAAAAUCCUUGUAGGUGCACGUUUUAGUGAGCCCUUGGUUCGUCCCGUUGUUCGAACUUCCGGAGCCUUGACCAUUGCCUCCUCCAUUGUUUCCUCGGUGAAGUUGUGCCAUAGCUGCCGUGACCGCAGCAGACACGGCUGCCUGGAAAGCAGUGGAGUCAACUUCCGGCGGGGUUGGUUCGGGAUUUCCGCGAGUAGCUGGGCGAGGCAUCUUUCUGUCAUGAAACGGAAAGAUGUUGAGUGUACGUGGUUUCGGUGAGGUUAUGAUCCUACUAACUAGGUGUAGGGUACGAACCUAAGCAUUACUAUCAUCAAGCAUACAAUCAUAACACCUCAACAGUUAACAACUGAGAAUAUCAUAGCAAAACACACAAAAGUUUAUUAAUAUUAUCCGUGUUUAGUACAAGAAAAUUUGCUCGUAGGAGCAUACAUAAGUAACACUAAUCCGACAGCAUAACGGCUCCAUGAGUAGUGUAGUCACUUAAACAUAGAGCCGGAGUACAUAACAUAGUUACUAAUAUCCUACUACGAUAGGUCUAUCCCUAACCGCGAUGAGCUGCGUCAGGAGGUGGUGCCGAAGUCAUAUGCCGAAAUGUUGCGCCAGUAGCUGCGCCAUCUCUGCCAUGUCUCCUAUAACUUCAUCCCUCUCGUGCUCUGCUCUCACUGCCCGAGCUUCCAUAGCAUACAGCUGUUGUCGCAGUGCGGCGAUCUCAGCUUCGAGGGAACGGUUCUCCCUUGGGGGGUUCACUGGUGGAGCGGGGUGAUCUGGUUGUGCCUCGUCCUCGCAUGGUGGGAUGGGGUCCUGGCCCCCGACCUGACCCUCCUCGUCGUCAUCGUCGACCUCUCCAAAUUCGUAGUCGGUGUCUAUAUAUUCGUCGGGUUCGACGUCGUGUGCUUCUCCUGGAUGCUCUUCCGGCUCAUCCACCAGCAUCCCGUGAGCUACUAAGGCCUGAUGAAACUGGAUGCCCUGCUGCUCCUCCUCAGGCUCCUCCUCCUCCUCUAGCCACCCGUUGUUUCCCUGAUUAGGGAAGUAGGGGUCUCCAGGGUGAUGAAAACCAGCCAUGCUGUCUGCGCGAGUACGUAAUUAUGCUACAUUAUUCCUAGGGUACUAUGACUAUUACACAGACUAAGCAAAUAUUCUCUUUUUGGGUGAUAUAGGGUAAAAUUUUUAGGUUCCCUGGCUAUUCCGAUCUCAUCAAGACAUGUGUUAGUUUUACCUUGGAGAGAAUGUAGUUGAUCAGGCUACAUUCACUCCUUGGUAUCACUAAGAACAGUCCCGAGUUAACCGAGAUACCAGCAUUAUGGUGUUUGAUUCAGCGUUAGGUCCUUACUCCUAAUGCAAGCAAGUGUGUUUUAUUUAUUUGUUUUGUUCAGAGUUAUGUUAGUCCCUCUUUUUGGUUUAUAGUUGCAUAUCAAUGUAUGGCUCGACAUGCUAGUUCACUAUAAACAAAGCUCUGAUACCAACCUGUCACACCCCCGAACCAGACGGCGGAAACGUCCGGGGGCUGUCGUGACUCAAUUGAAUACCAUAACAUUGAAUAUAUAUGAAACAAAACAACAUUCGUCACCAUUCAUCAACAUAAUACAACCAGUAGUGUUUACAUGUCAUACAUUGUUUGAGAUAUUACAUUUCCAAAAAUUAAUAUUGUUUGGUUCAUUCAAAAAUAAACUGCAACCGUCACUGAGCAUGAUUUCCCUUGACUCACUGGUUUCCUGAGAAUACAAGUAUUUUGAAAAACGUCAACAUAUGAAAUGUUGGUGAGUUCAUAAGUAGUGUUUGAAAUCGAAUGUUUAUAUUGUUUGAAAAACCACCAGAAAAUCCGAUAUUUUCUGAAAAGAAAAGCUUUCAAAAACGUUUGUGAAGAUCCAUAGGUAUGCUUGUUUGUUUCUAUACUUGCAAAAAUUGUUCAUUUAAGAUGUAUGCGUUUAAAAUCUGUAUGUGAUAAAAACCCUAGGGAAACCCGAUGUUCCCCUAGUUCUUUUGAAAUCCAUUGAGUUGCGUUGAAACCAUUACAAAAAUAGUAGUAUCGGUCCCAAGCGACGUUGGAAGGUUCUCGAGCAUUGAUUAUUUACUACAAACCCGCAUUACACAAAUGCCCGGUUUAUAGAUAUACCAACGAUUCCCGAAGGCGUCGUCAGUACUAAUCACGUUAUCCAAUCGCCCGGACUAUGAGUGGUCCCACAUCCGAAGAGAAAGAGGUCACGAAGACCCCGGUAACUCUAUUAACCGGCUGGGGAAAAAUGUGUGCGAGGGGUCCCCGACCCGCCUCGUAAAAUGUGUAGACUUUUCUAGCAAUACCAUGGCCCUUGGGGUCCAAUGGUACAAGCCAUUGAAAGUCACCCUACGUUGUGCCAAGUCGGUAAAACUCAACACUUCGUAGAAAAAAAAUGUCUUCGGGCCUUAAGAUCAGGUCAUUGGGCUAGCUAGGCCCAACAAACAAGAUUUUACACUUUUGGGGCCCGAAGAUGGUGCGUAGACGUCUGUGCACACUCGUAUGUAUGUGUAUUACCAAUCGUUAUUUGUAUGUAUCAAAGAGUUAGUAGUUGUAGAUUUCCAUUGGCUCGAGACCGAGCCAAUUCGUUUAGCAACGACUUUUGGUAUUGUAAUGAGUUGUAUUUCGUUGAUAGUUGAGGUGUCAUUAUUUGAUCACAUUGUACAUAAUGAAUCAGCCUUGAAAUAUUUCUGUUUUCAGCCCCUCAUUAUUUGUAAAAUUUACAUUUUCAACCCUUUUAUUUAAAUAUUUCCCGGUUUGGUCCUUAAACUAUUUUUCUUGACAUUUUAACACCAAAAAUUAUUGAAAUUAAUAUUUUCCAGCAUAUUUUUCAAAGAAAACAGUUUAAGUCCCUGAAAAUGCAGUUUUUCUCGGUUUUAGCCCAUCUUUUCGCAAUUUUGACAAUUUUGGCCCAAAAUGGAAAAUUUUUGCAACUUUGGUCCUUUUUAAAUUUAAAAAGCAUUUUAAACCUUUGAAAAGGGUUUGGGACACUUAUAGUCCACUGUUUUACAGAAAGUUACAGUUUUGGCCCUCCAAAACAGAAAAAUUCGCAUAAUGGGCCUUAUUGGGCCGAAAUUUGCAUUUUUAGCCCAAUAGGCUUGAAAUUUAUGUUUUUAAUCCACCAAUUGAAUAGAAUUCCAGAAAUAGCUUUAUUGAAACUGUUUUGACACAUUUCAACCAUCAGAAUCUGUAAAAUGUCAUUUUGGGCCCUUAAUUUUGUAUUUUUCACAUUUUUGGCCCAAAAUGUGUGUUUUUAGCUUAAAGAAAAUUGUUGCUAACCACUUGGCUAUUUAUCUAGUAUCACUUAUUAUGUAGGAACAUAUUUGAAGCUAAUAUCAUAAAACAUGAGUUAUAUCUCGGUUUUGAGGGGUUUAAUGGCUAGAUCCAACAUUAAAACACAUAUAAGCAUACAUAUAAGCAUGGAAAUCAUACAAGGCAUACAAAUACAUAUAGAUCUACACUUUCACUUGUAUUCCCCCCCACAAAAACUCUUAAAAACAGAAAAUAGGGGUAUGAAUCUCACCUUGGGGUGUUGGUUCGGUUUUUGCAAUGAAAAUGGAAGGAAAAAUGAAGUGUUUUUGGCCUUGGCUCCCUUUGGUGAAGAUCUUGAGUUUGAGAUGGUUUGAGGAUGCUAGAUCACGAUUUUUGUAUAGAUUAGGGGAGGAUUUUGAUAACAAAAGAAUUUAAACCAUAGAUCUAUGCAUAAUCUUACCUUAGGAGAUGAUUUACUUGCAAAAAUCCCUUUGGAAAGCCUCUAAAUUUCGAGAUCUUUGGAGAGGGGAAGGAGAGAGCUUCUUGAGAGAAUUUUUGAGAGAAUUUUGUGAGAUGUGUGUGUGUGUUGGUUAUCCUCGGCCGAAACAAGAAGGGAGAGGGAGAGAGAGAGAGAGAGAAGGAAGAAAAGACUUUGAGGUGAUGCUUGCAUGGAUGAAUGUGAUUUUUGCAUGGAGAACCCAUGGGUAAAAAUGAGGUGGCACUUAAAAGUCAACCUCUCCUUGUGUUUGGGCCUUGGGCCGAGAAUAUGAAGGGAAGGAGGAAAAAUUUGGGCUUUUGCCCCUAAGCCCAACAUUAGAGGUAGUUUAGGGUAUUUAUUGGACUUAUAAAAUAAAAUUGUGAUUUUUGUGCUUUAUUAAGCUAGGUUAGGUUUAAUUAUGGAUCAAAACUUGUGUUUUAUUUCCUUCUAGGUUCUACCUAGCCCAAAAUAUUGAAAUAAACGAGUGUGGGUCUAAUUAGAGCCCAAUUAGGGUCCUAAACCCAUGAUAGUCAAAUUGGAAGGUCAUUGGUCCGUUUGGAUCCAAUAAGGAAGUCUUAGUCCAAAAUGGACUUAACAAGAACUUCUAGGGUCUCCAAUUGUUUGAUGACUACUUAUAGUACUUGUAUUUGAUUGAAGUUUUUGAUUCACAUUAGGUUGAAUGCAUAGAUUACAUGGCUCAAAAUUUACAGUUGUGACAAGUUUCACCUCAACCCAUCCCACAUAAUAUGUCGACAUAUAACACAACUAAUGCACAUACAUAUAAUCACAUAAUACUACAGGUAGUCCUACGGAUCUACCUAACUGACAUAACAACUAGCAUGCAAACAGUCAGACCAACUAUAGUUCACUAAGCAUAACCACGUCCGACCUACCAGGAUACCGAUCUAGCAGAUCAUACUAGCAUAUAACCAUCCUAUCUACCAGGAUAUCAAGCUAACAUAUCACAAUACUAAUGAUUCCAAUAACCAAAAAUAGGGUCGGCCUUGGUGCCUUAGACCCUUGAGUACAGUGAGGAUAACUCACCUCGCAAUUGUCAACUCGAAAGAUAAGCUCAAACUCUUGGAUCACCGCCACAAACUCCACCACCUAUAUUCGCCACACAACCAUGCUCAUAAAUUCCCAAAAUGCCCCAGAAAUCCCAUAGUUAAUCCUUGGUCAAAGUCAAAGUCAACUGCCAAGGUCAACAGUCCAUGUUGACCUGAACUCGUCGAGUACAACCAGCCACUCGCCGAGUUCCUUGCAUAACUCGUCAACUCACCGAGUCACCUGAGUGACUUGUCGAGUUCCUAAUGUUUGUGGCCGUGAACUCCUUGGCUAACUCGUUGAGUUUCCCUUGAAACUCGCCAAGUUCAUGUGUGUCCAAAGGUUGGGAAAACCCUAGCUGACUAGCCGAGUCACUCUACUGACCCGCUGAGUCUACGACAAUAUUCAUCGGACUCGCCGAGUUGACCAUGCAACUCGCCGAGUCCCUUCAGUCCUUCAUCCAAACAGAUGCUUUUUAAGCCAUGCUAAGGUUCCACAUUGUAGAUCCAAAUCCCCAAGGCAUGGUUAUCACGUAAAGUUGCAAAAUUCACGUGCAUGCAAGGCUCUAGAGACUCUAAAUGACAAUCCAAGAUUGCAAUGGAGUUUUACACCUUAGGAGAGUCUCAUUCUUACAAAAGUUGGAAGUUUUAGGGACUUAGAGACCCAAGGGAGUUUAGAUUUGAAGUUUCAACUUCAGAUCUUAGCUCAAACACAAUAAAGGCUUCCCAAUAUGCUAGAAAAGCCCUAAAAUCCACCCAAAUGAAAUCUAGAAUGAAAUGAGAUCAAGAUAACAGCUUAAUACCUUCCAAAGGAUGCCAACUGAGGUAGAUCUCUAAUUCCCACACAUUCCUUUCUUCUAGUCACUUGUUCUCCAAGCUUUUCUCACCAAAAAUCCUCUUCUAAAGCUUGAACACAUAAAUGGAGCACACUCACAUGAAUUAGGGUUUAUGGAAUAUCAAGAGGCUAUAAGGGGAGGCUAAGGAGGCCAAUUAUCCUUUAAAUAGGGUGCAAAACCUUGGAAAUUAGGGUUUCAUCCUCCAGCUCCUACUCGUCGAGUCCCCUCUUGGACUCGUCGAGUAGGUCACUUAAACACAUAGAUCAACCCGCUGCUACUCGACGAGUCAGGGCAACCAACUCGUCAAGUAGACCUUGAAAUCAAGAAAAUCUUAUGACCAAAAAUCAAUACCUGAGAAUCGAGAUAUUACAAAUCUCCCUCACUUGAAAUAGACUUCGUCCUCAAAGUCUACUGUGGUGAACAACUCCGGAUAGUGCUCCCGCAUCUCUGCCUCUGGCUCCCACGUCCACUCAGACCUUAUUCGGUGCUCCCAUUGUACCUUUACCAAAGGUAUAUCCUUGUUCCGUAGAACCUUUACUUUCCUCUCCAUAAUGGACACGGGCCUCUCAACAUAAUUCAGGCGCUCAUCGACCUGAAUGUCAUUCAAUGAUACUACCGCCACCUGAUCCAUAAUGUAUUUUCGCAAUUGUGAAAUAUGAAAGGUGUUGUGGAUCUGACUGAGCUUAUCCGUAGCUCUAACCUACAUGUCCCCUUGCCAACCCUUGCAACGAUCCUGAACGGCCCAAUGUAUCGGAGACCCAAUUUCCCCCUCUUCCUGAAGCGGAUCACACCCUUCCAGGGCGAGACCUUCAAGAGUACCAUGUCUCCAACCUGGAACUCUAAUUCCGAUCGGCGUUUGUCGGCAUAACUCUUAUGCUGACUCUGAGCGGUCUGUAGUCGCUGCCUAAUUUGCUGAAUCUUCUCGGUAGUCUACAAGACUACCUCCGUCCGUCCCAUCACCCUAUGUCCGACUUCACCCCAACAAACCGAGGUGCGACAUCUCCUCCCAUGUAACAGCUCGAAAGGCGGGGUGCCAAUGCUGGAAUGGUAGUUGUUGUUGUAGGCAAACUCUGCAAGGGGUAGGUCGGAAUCCCAGCUCCCACUGAAGUCAAUAACACACGCCCUCAACAUGUCCUCGAGGGUCUGAAUGGUCUGCUUGCUAUGUCCAUCAGUUUGUGGAUAGAAUGUUGUGCUAAAGUGCAUUCGCAUGCCCAGUUCCUCGUGGAUCUUGUGCCAGAAACUGGAGGUAAAUCUAACAUCCCAUCCCGGUCGGAGACAAUGGAGAUUGGAACCCCAUGGUAAGCAACAAUCUUGUGGACGUAUAUGUCAGCCAACAUCUCGGCCGACGAACUCUCCCGCAUUGCCAAGAAAUGGCCACUCUCGGUUAAUCUCGGCAACUUGGUAAUGAAGUCUAUCGUGAUCUAUUCCCAUUUCCACAUGGGAAUUUCUAGGGGCUACAGCAUACCAUGCGACCUCUGAUGCUUGGCCUUGACCAUCCUACAGGCCAAGCACCUCUCGACAUACCAAACGAUUUAUCGCUUCACCCAUGGCCACCAGUAACUUAAACUCAGGUCUCGAUACAUCUUGGUGGCCCUCGGGUGAAUAGAGAAGUGAGACUCAUGAGCCUCCUCCAUGACUGUCUGUCUAACCCCAACAGACAUCGGAACCCAUACCCGACUGCGUCGGGUCAAUAAUCCCUAGCUAUCCUGCACAAAUCGGGUGUUCUCGCCCUUGAUCCUCUCCAUCUUCCAGUUCUCCGGUUGUAUGCCCUCAACCUGAGCAUCCCUGAUCAAGCUCACCAGUGAAGAAUCCACCGCUAUCCUCAUACAUAUCGCUAGGGUGGAAGACCGAGCUGACUUGCGGCUCAAAGCGUCCGCCACCACAUUCGCUUUACCGAGGGUGGUAAAGGAUCUCGCAAUCAUAGUCCUUAACUACAUCCAUCCAACUGCGCUACCUCAUGUUCAGGUUCGGUUGAUCCAUGAUGUGUCUCAAGCACUUGUGAUCCGUGUAUAUGGUACAACGGACCCCCAUCUAGAUAAUGUCUCCAUAUCUUGAGAGCGAAAACCACCGCUUCCAACUCUAAAUCAUGAGUUGGAUAUCUCGUCUCAUGCGGCUUCAGCUGUCGCGAUGCGUAAGCUACCACCUGUCCUCUCUGUAUGAGGACUGCCCCUAAACCUGUGAUGGAUGCGUCACAGAACGCCACAAAAUCCUCCACUCCCUCCGGGAGUGUCAAGAAUGGAGCCUCGCACAACCGCUGACGAAGAGUCUCAAACCCCCUAUGCUGCUCAGGGCCCCACCGAAAAUCCACCCCUUCCUCGUUAGACGAGUGAGGGGUACUGCACUCUUAGAAAAAUCUCAAAUGAAUCUCUGGUAAUACCCUGCUAAUCCCAGAAAACUCAUGAUAUCCGAAGGAGACCUUGACACCUCCCACUGCAUGACUGUCUCGAUUUUGGCCAAGUCGACCAAAAUUCCCUCCUGGUUAAUGAGAUGUCCAAGUAACUGGACCCCUCGCAACCAAAACUCACACUUCAAGAACUUGGCAUACAGUCGUUCUAGUCUCAUAACUCCCAAUAACUCCCUGAGGUGUUCCUCGUGCUGCUCUCGGGUCCUGGAAUACACCAAGAUAUCAUUUAUGAACACGAUGACUGAGCGAUCAAGCAUCGGUCUGUGAACCCGAUUCAUCAGGUCCAUGAAUAUUGUUGGUGCAUUGGUGAGCCCAAAUGGCAUCGUCACGAACUCGUAAUGACCAUAACGAGUCCGAAACGUGGUCUGCUCCACGUCCUCCUCUCUGACCCGGACCUGAUGAUACCUCGACCGCAAAUCAAUCUUGGAGAACCAAGACGCACCCUGCAACUGAUCAAAUAGAUCGUCUAUCCUCGGGAGUGGAUAACGGUUCUUUACUGUCAACUUUUUCAACUCCCUAUAGUCAAUGCACAUCCAGUGCGAACCGUCCUUCUUCUUGACGAAGAGGAUCGAUGCUCCUCAUGGAGAACUGCUAGGUCGAAUGAACUGCUUGCCCAACAGUUCCUGCAGCUGUGAAGACAACUCUUGUAUCUUGGGUGGCACCAACCGGUACGGCGCCUUGGCAAUAGGAGCAACACUCGGCACCAGGUCGAUCCGGAACUCGACCUGCCUCUCCGGAGGCAUCCCUGGCAACUCCUCUGGGAACACGUCGGCAAACUCCCUAACCACUGGAACCUCUGAAACUAAAGUAUGAUCUCUGAACCGCGUAUCCACCACAUACGCUAGAUAACCCGUACACCUGUGCUGAAUAUACUGUCGAGCCCUGGCAGCUAAACAAAACCAUGAUCCCACUUUGGUGCCCUCGUCAUAUACAAUCAGUUCUCCCCCACUUAGGGUUCAAACUACCACCCACUAGCCCUCUCAAUCUAUCAUGGAACCAAAUCGACUAAGCCAAUCCAUCCCCACAAUCACGCACACCUCCCCAUGGGAAUCAAUAUCAAAUCUAUCAGAAAGGACACUCCGAAGAUCUCCAACUCACAUCCUCGGUAGACAAAAGAAGCAGAAACUUCAUGUUCGUUGGCGAUAGAGACUCACAAUAGACACUCUAGCUCGCCUACUGGCACACCGAACUCCCUACUAAAUGUCUGAGAUAUGAAAGACCGACUCACUCCCGAGUCAAAUAACACCAUUGCAAGCAAGAAGUUCACUAAAAACGUACCUAAUCACAGGUACAACGAAUAAGCAUAACACAUAUAUAAUAAAUGAGAUAAAUGAUAGAAACAUACCAGCAACCACAUCCGGUGCUGCCCUGGCCUCCUCUACUAUAAGCUGGAAGGCACAUCCCUGAGCCUUCAGAAGCUCUACCUUAACUGGCCUCCUGAUAGCUUCAUUUUAUUUAUUUCUUUUUAUAGUUUAUUUUAGCACAUUUCAUUCGCAUUUUAGUUAAUUUCCAUGCAUAUUUUCCCUUUUGUUAUUUUUAUGAACAUUUCGGUGUACUUUCUAGUUUCUUGAGCAUUAUUGCAGAUUUUCUUGGAGACUAGCUGAGCGGGACUCUUUGGAGGCGAUUGGGCUUGAAGGGAAAUGGGGAUUUCGUGCUUGAUGGCUAUGGAGGUGAUUCAUGGAGUGGACGUCUCAAUUGCUUGAAGGCUUGGAAGUGUUGAACUUUAAAUUUGAAAGGCACGGGAAAAUUCUUGAGUGUGCAAGAUCGAUGUUUAGGAGUUUGCGGAAGUUUUGAGUGAUGUGGAAAGACAAAUUGGGCUCAAAUUGAAGAAAUAUUGAAGAAAAAUGGGCUAGAAGCUGAUUGGACUCGAACUGGGCCAAUGGAUUAGCUGUGGGGGGCCAAGACUUGAAGAAGCCCAAAAUACCCGUCAGAGCCCGCGGCCCGCGUAAGAUUCCCCGCGGCCCACAUGGAUUCGUGACAAGGGCAAUUUCGGGACUUUGCUAAGAGCUCUAUAUUGGGAAGGUGGAUGUGCCUCUUUAGUCUGAUCUUGAAGGUCCGAGUUUGACUUGUUCUCUCUGGAGUUGGGGGUGCUUUUGAAGGCCAAGAACACCUCAAGAACAUCUUGAUUUCACCUCUUGAUUAUUGUAAAAUGUUUGGUACAAUCUCAUCUAACUUUGUUUCUUUGAAUUUAGCCAUGCUUGGCUAAACUAAUCUUGGUUGACUUUUUGUUGAAUCCUUUGAACUUUUGUUGAAUGUUGAAGAAUCCAUGAACUUGUUCUUAAAUCUUUAUGGAAAUGUUUUGUGUUUUAUCAUAUUAUCACUACUAGUAUGUUUUUAUUCAUGAGUUUAAAUGUGUUUGUGGUGAUUAGUUGGCUAAUUUCUUGAUUAAGUAAAGGAUCCUCAAAUUAGCAAGCAACAAAUGAUUUUUGUGUUGUUUUUGCUUCACACAAUCAUAAAAACAUUUCCUCCAACAUGGUGGUGAAAGCAUUUGACCCCUCUUGGAUUUGGUGACUUUUUGGUUCUUAAUGCUAGUUGACUUUCACUAAUUACAUGCUAUUUGGAAUUAGUGACUUUGACUAAGGAAAUUGUUAUGAGCUUCUCUAGCCAUUUCAACAAUUAAGAAAAGUCUAGGUAAUCUCAAGUUUCUUGGAUUACUAUAGCCAAAUUAAGGAUUUAAAUCAAAGUAUUGCACCAUUGGAUUCUAAUGAUAUGUUCAUCAAAAGUCAAAGUGAGGAAACUUUAAGUCAACCAUCUCUCCUUUAUUGAUUUUACAUCAAACUCUUAUUUUUGUUGCAAUUUUCUCUUUAAAUCAUAGUUAAUUCUAGUUUGUUUCAAGUAUUUCAAAUCAUCAAAAACCCCAUUUUUAAUUUAUUGUCAUAUUCCAAGUAUUUUUACAAAGAGAUUUUUCAUAGAGUUAUCAAAUUGAACCAAUCUCCAUGGAUUCGAUCCCUUUACCGCUAUAUACUAUUUUAGUGUGUAAUAAUUAGGGUUAUUAAUUUUGUUGGCCUCGACAACCACCACCUCCCAUCAAAAAUCCUUAAUGUAGCUGGUGCGGGAACCUGCGCCGGCUUAGCGGCAAGCAACAGGCAGUUGGCCUUCAAGUGGCCAACCUGAUCAUAGGGAUAACAUAACCUCAAACUCGGAACCGGGGCGGCCUGGCGACAAUCCUUCGCAGUAUUAGACCCUUGCUGCACUUUCCAGAAUGACCCACUACCAGCUCGACAAACCCCAGAAUGACCCUUGCUGCACUUUCCACAAGUACGACUCUACUAACCCCCUGUCCUAGAAUUGGCAGUCUUAGACCGCUUAGGCGCCAGCUGUGACUGUUUCGGGGCCUGCCGCUGCUCCCUCAACUGCAGCUCGAUCUCCAACUCACGCCUCCUAGCGUUCUCCUGCAACUCCAAUAGAGUAUCACAUCGAUGGGUAGACACAACCUGACAGAUGUCAGUCUUGAGCAUGUUCAAAUAACGGGUCAUCUGAGCCUGCUCGGAACCAAAUUCUGGGCAGAACAUCGCCCUCUCUGUGAACAUGCGGGUGAUCUCCGUCACCGACUCCCCAUCCUGUCUCAAACUCAAAAACUCCUGUGACAACCGUUACCGCUCAACCUGUGGAAUGUAUCGGGCAGGAACAUAUCCAUGAACUUCUCCCAAGUAACAGCAACUCUCUGAUCAUUAGUAUACGACCCAGUCGUCAAUCUCCACCAAUCCUUGGCCCCGGACCUCAGCACGCUCAGAGCACACCAGACCUUCUGGUCAGUAGGACACGAGCAAGUAAAGAAACACCCAUCCACAUCUGAAACCCACCUCAUAUCCUUGAUGGGAUCCUGCGUCCCAUCAAAAGUAGGGGGUUUCGUGUUAUCAAAUUCCCUGUACUAGAAGCCCCAAGCGACAGCCGUCUCUGCAAGGGUUAUGUAUCGCUCGUCGAAGUACUCGACCAUGGCGGUCUUAAUAGACCCAAACGUCUCCGGUAGUUGUACCCGGAACAAAGUGGCAACCUCAUCAUGCAAGAUCUCCCGAAUCCUGGCGACCAACUCAUUUGUCCCCGUCUGCACCACAGGCUUAGGUGUUGUUGGCCCUCCUGGCUCCCGUCUCCUGAUCCUGAUCCUGAACCGGAUCCAAUCACAAAGUGUCUCAUCAUCACCAUUCUGAAACAUACCAAAAGAUAUCAGAUAAUCCACAUAAAUAAUCGGGAACCAACUCCCGACUAAACCCUAGGGGUUAUGACUUCCUUGCUACGCGUAUGGGUCUUGUGCUUUCAGUAGUACGAGCACAUACUACCUUCCACACCUACCCAUAUUUGUCUCAAGUAUCAUUACUGUUGGAUUAGUGUCUAAGCCCGUAACCAUAUUUGGUAAGUACUUGACCCGGUUGUGCAUGGUCCUUUUGGGUUGCCUUCACCAAAGCAACUUGACUGGAGAUAUAAUAGAGAAAGAGGCUAUUGUGGUUUAUUAAUAUAUUAUAAGAAUAAUAUAUUAAAAGAGAAAUCAUAUUUAUUUAGUUAACAUUGGUCAAGAAUUAAUUAAGAAUUAAUUUUGUGAUCGAAGUUAACUGAACUAAGGGGACUAAACUGUAAUUAUGUGAUAGUUGCAAAGUAGGGCAAAGGAUGCCCUAUACGAUAGGGUGGACGAGUAAUCAGAUAAGCCUAUGUCUGAAAGUAGGGCAAGUGUAUCCAGGUGGCCAAGUAAUUAGAUAAGCACUGCUGCGAGACCAAACACACGCACUACCAGUUUCCCGGUCUCAUCUCGGCCUUUCCCGAAUCGAGUACAGAUCCUCUGCUUUCAGUAGUACGGGCCCAUACUACCUUCCACAUCUAUCCGUACUUUCCUCAAGAACUGCUUCGACUCCACCAAGUCCCUUUCACUACUACUGCUCCCAGCACAACUGUUCCUACGCUUAUCCUAGGGAAACCUCUGACUCAAACCAAACCAAUCCUCAGCCGCUGAAGGCCUCCUUGUGAUUCCAAUUAGCCAUCACCUGGAUACCAUCACAUGUGACGAGGCUCAGAUAAUCCUUCGAGUAAAAGUCUCGUCCCUACAACAGUUUGACUCAAACAAGAGCUGCGCAAUAGGGCCAAAUCCAACACUCUGAGAUUAUUCAACCUUGAUCACAUGUGACGUGACGUAUCCACCUAAUGGCUAACUCCCAUCACUCAGAAUCCCACAAAGCACAAAGCAAGCAGCAUUCGGAUAAAGGAAACAUACUCAAACAAUCAUAAUCUCAUAUCAAGAAUUUGUACUAACAUGCAACAUAAGCUCAUACACUCAGGCAUAACCCAGACAAGCUAUCCUACUACUAUCUAACCAGCACUAUAAUGCAGCUCGAAAGCACAUAUAACAGGCACAUAAGGAAUCCUCCCUAGAUCCUUAGUCCUAAUCUAGCAUGCUGUUCUACUAACUGAUAUUCAUAACAUAAACUUGUAUGGGUAUUUUGGGGUACUUACUUGAGCUCGACUGAUUGCAUGCACCACACCCNUCUGACGCUUGAACUCGCCAAGCACCACAAUGGACUCGCCGAGUUGAGGCCUACUCGCCGAGUACAUAAACUUGUAUGGGUAUUUUGGGGUACUUACUUGAGCUCGGCUGAUUGCAUGCACCACACCCCUUUCUCUUAUCGAAAUUAUUUUUGCUUUUCUAAAACUGUUUCCUUUCUCAAAACUCUUUUUACAAAACUGCAUUUUGAAAACUUUCAUACCAAUCCCUUAGUUUGAGUUUAGACACACCCGAGAGUAUGUCCGAAUCCCUCAAACCAAGGAUCUGAUACCAACUUGUAACAACCCAAAAAUCCGUACCAAAUUUUUUUCUUUAAAUCAUUACUAAAACCAUAUUCAUAAAAACAUAUCAUAAACCAUAACAUAAUUCAUAGUUUUAAUUUCCAAAACAUAUGUUCAUUAUCAGAGUAAAACAUCCCAGACUGUCUAAUCUAUGGUGUGUGCCAUGCGAUCACCCCGAGCUCUUCCCUCCGCUACCGGAAGUACCUGAAACCAAAACUGAAAACCGUAAGCACGAAGCUUAGUGAGUUCCCCCAACCUACCACAUACCAUGCAUAAACACAUACUGUACAUACUGGGCCAGUCCCUCUAUUUUAGGCCUCGCCCCUACCUCGGGCCUCGCCCGCUACAACGGNNNNNNNNNNNNNNNNNNNNNNNNNNNNNNNNNNNNNNNNNNNNNNNNNNNNNNNNNNNNNNNNNNNNNNNNNNNNNNNNNNNNNNNNNNNNNNNNNNNNNNNNNNNNNNNNNNNNNNNNNNNNNNNNNNNNNNNNNNNNNNNNNNNNNNNNNNNNNNNNNNNNNNNNNNNNNNNNNNNNNNNNNNNNNNNNNNNNNNNNNNNGUGAGAUACGGUCCCGACCCACACUCACUCUUUCCCUAAUCUGGGCCUCGCCCCUACUCUACUACUAAUGAGAUAUGGAACACCGUCCAUACUCUGCUGUUAGUGAGAUACAGGACCUCGCCCACACUCACCUCCCUACCAGGCACAUGAUGGGUUUGAGCCAUAAGAACAUUCCUAUGUGCACAUACAAACCCUAAUGCUUGGAUCUAGGUUUCUAUAAUUGAACAUGCAAUGUAUCCAAGACUUUGAUUGAUAGAUCUAAUGAAAACAUUCAAAUUAUAACACAUGAAAUCAGAUCUGAUGGAUUACCUUGAAUUGCUUGCUUGAAUCUUCUUGUCCUUGGAGCUUAGAGUCACAAUUGUCACUCCUCUAAUGGCUUACAAACACCAAGUAUCAAGAGAAUGAUAAUAGAGAGAGAGAGAGGAGGGUGAGAAAUCGGCCAGGGUUACUCUAAUACCAAGGGUGCCGAUUUCCUCAACCCUAUGGGUGUAUUUAUACUAGUGANCUGCUUACUUGCAUCUUCUUGUCCUUGGAGCUUAGAGUCACAAUUGUCACUCCUCUAAUGGCUUAAAAACACCAAGUAGCAAGAGGAUGAUAAUAGAGAGAGAGAGAGAGAGAGAGAGGAGGGUGAGAAAUCGGCCAGGGUUACUCCAAUACCAAGGGUGCCGAUUUCCUCAACCCUAUGGGUCUAUUUAUACUAGUGAGCUUCCUAGGGUUUCACCCUUAAAACCCUAAUUGGAUAACUUAGGCCCUAAGCAAUCCAAUAUCCUUAUUGAUAAGCCUUGGAUGAUUUCUAGGCUCUUCCAAACCCUAAAAUCGUCCACCCUCUUAUUCAUAAGGAAUCACAACCCAAAAUACAACUAUCGUACAAUUGACAGUUUAUGCCCCUUUAUUUAAUUAAUCUCUUUAAGUCACCAAAUUAAUUCCUAAUUAAUUUAUGACUUAUAUUAAUCAAAUAACAAUAUUAUUAUUCCUUAUAUUAUUCUCAUAAUAUAUUAAUAAUAUUUCUUCUCUCGUUAUAAAUCAUCCUGUCAANUAUAUACAAGCACAAUCCGAUUCGCAAUCGUAGCUCUCAAAGACGCUGUCAAACUUUGAUCCUAUCAGUCCUGUUCUUUAGAAAAGGGAUCGUAUAGUCCUCUGUUCAAACAUCACGCAGACACAAUCUUUGUCCAGUGUUUAGUUUCUCGAUCUCAGAUUUAUUCGACAUAGAACUUAAUCGAACACAUCAAUUAGUNCUAAUAUCCUUAUUGAUAAGCCUUGGAUGAUUUCUAGGCUCUUCCAAACCCUAAAAUCGUCCACCCUCUUAUUCAUAAGGAAUCACAGCCCAAAAUACAACUAUCAUACAAUUGACAGUUUAUGCCCCUUUAUUUAAUUAAUCUCUUUAAGUCAUCAAAUUAAUUCCUAAUUAAUUUAUGACUUAUAUUAAUCAAAUAACAGUAUUAUUAUUCCUUAUAUUAUUCUCAUAAUAUAUUAAUAAUAUUACUUCUCUAAUUAUAAAUCAUCCUGUCAAGUUGCUAUGGUGAAGGCAACCCAAAAGGAUCAUGCACAACCGGGUCAAAUACUUGCCAAAUAUAGCUACAGCCUUAGACACUAUUCCAACAGCACAUACAUGUAUCACACAGACAACAAGUAUAAUCUAUCAUGCGAACCAUUCCUUUGGGCACCUGCCCGCUAUCAAUGGACCUUGGUCCCAAAUAUCAUACUGACAAUUAAUGCCUAGGGCUAACCCCCGGGUCUUCCUACUCAUAACUACAUGGGCUGACACUAUGGCCGUAGACCCACCCACAUAAAAGGGAAACUCACCUGCACUUGCUGAACUUGCUGAUAACCCCUCUAGCUAUUGCCCGACAACUCUCUAAACUGCUGCUCCACUAGCUCCUCGAGCUAUCAAUAUCAAUAUAACACUUAGUCUAACUGACCUCUCAAAAGUCAACCAAGUCAACUAUGGUCAAAGUCAAAGUCCUGGUCAAGGUUAACCUUCCAGUUCAACCCUACUCGCCGAUUUUGCCUACUGACUCGCUGAGUUCCUAGGCUCAGAAUCCUUUCAUUCGCGACUCGACUCGCCGAGUCAUCCCCUGACUCGCCGAGUCCACCGAUUUCCGAGUCCUUUCCUGUCCAACUCACUGAGUCUCCACUCGACUCACUGAUUUGAGUCUUAACUCGAAGGGUUUGGGAUUUCGCGACUUGACGAGUCCAAGAACAGACUCACCGAGUCCAAGGCAAUCUUCAACAGACUCGCCGAGUUGUUCAUCCAACUCGUCGAGUUCCUCUUAAUCUUCGUACUACUCGCCGAGUCCACUCGAAGGACUCGCCGAGUCUAUUCAGUCCUUCAUACAUUCAGAGGCUUUUAGAGUCAUGCAGGGACUCCAAACUGUAGAUCCACUCUCCCAAAGUCCAUUCCUCACUUAAAGUUGCAACCUUUACGUGUAGCUAAUGAGAUCUAGGCUAAACACAUCACAAACUAGGGUUUAAGACAACCAUGCAUCACCUACACUCUCAAGACUGACACUUUAUGACUCUCUAGGCCAAGACACACCUGGAGCUGAAGGGAUUCAGCUUGGGGACGUCCAAACCCGAAAUGUAUCUUACUUGGUCAAAAAUCUCAUAAAGAGGGACAUGAAAAGAUCCAACAAAUAACAAGGCAAGGAAGGAACUUGGUUACCAAAAUGAGCAGCUAAAGAGAUGAAUCUUCUGGAUCCUCAACCUUCCUCUUGAACCCUCAACUCCUUCUUCUCCUUCUAGGCUUCAAGAACACUCCAACUCUUCAACAAUGGAUCACACACUCAAAGAGAUCACUAGGGUUUUGUGGAAUAGCUUAUGGAGAAUAGGGCUACAAAUGAGGCUGAUAUGAGGAGAAUGAGAUGCUUAAAUACGGUACAAGUCCCAGAAUUAGGGCUUUCCCAACCCAGACCAGACUCGCCGAGUCAAUCUCCCCGACUCGUCGAGUCGGUCACUUAAGCCGCGACACGGAUUACGCUCCGACUCGUUGAGUUCCUCCCCGGACUCGACGAGUUGACCCUUUGACUUAGGGUUUUCUUUCCUUUCAUGGCCUUUCUGAUCUUGGGUGUUACACACCAUGUAUGUUUGUAUGGUUAUUCACACCCUGUUUUGUGACCCUCGGCAUCCCAGUCACAAAUCGAGGGGCAUAUCGAGAUUUAAACAUGCCAUUGAAAAGUUCAAUGAAUCUCAUAGGAUCUAGGAGUUUUCAAUACAUUUAAAACUUAAUCUCUUUUUCGUUUUUCGUGGGUGAAAAUUAGUGAAUCGUCAUUCACUUACCUUCAAAUGUUCUGCAAUUUGGAUUACAACAUCCCUCUUCCAAGUUGUAAAACAUUGUGUUGGGUCCUAGCCUUAAUAUCUCAUCUGGGUGUUUUAUUAAGGACUCAAUCAACCAACUAACUUGAAUUUUCUCCUGUUUUGUAGAUGUCAAAGUAUGACAACCAUAGUCUUCCCAAAUACCUUGGAACAAGCUUUCCACAUGAAGAUGAUAUUCCACAAUUCGAUCGAGGAACAAGAGAUCAUGCUUCACUUCCUCCACCUCCUCCUAUUGUUCUCUCUAACCCAUAAGUUCAAAGGCUUGAAAAGUUCAAGCUCACUCAAGACCUUUUGGCAAGUAAACAUGAAGAAGGAAAGUCAGUGUCUGCACACGUCUUAAAGAUGAAGUCACACAUUGAUAGGUUAAUAAUGUUGGGAGUCGUUGUCUAUGAGAAGCUGGUUGUUGACUGGGUUUUCCAAUCGCUUCCUGACUCGUAUAGUGAGUUCGUAAGAGAGUACUAUAUGAUAGACCACGACGUGACCCUCAUCGAUCUCACCUAUUUGCUUGUUGCUGCUGAAUCAACAAUGAUUUAGCGCACUAGAGAAGCAAAGUUGAUUGGUGGAUCUGCCUUCAAAAUCUCCAUGGACAUAGGCAAUGGCAAUGAAAGGCAUGCCAUGGUCGAAAAGUCUGAUCACACGAGAAAGGCAAAGUCUGAGGUAGUUUCGUGUGCUGUUCCAAAAGAGUCAGUUUGCUUUUAUUGCCAAGAGAAGGGGCAUUGGAGAUGAAGUUGUCAUGUCUACCUGAGAGAUAUAAGAGACGGGAGAGUCAAGAUGUAUGGAUCUACUUCAGGUAAAAUCCAUUAACUAACUCUAUAAGUUCCUAUUUUUGAUUCUUAAUACACGAUGUGAUAAGAUUACAUUUGGUGUUUUGUAGGAUCGAAGAAAAGAGAGGAAGCUUAAAGGAAGAAAUGAGCUGAGUCUGAUCACGAAGAAGUGGAUUUCGAUCGCAUAAUUCGAUGAUUGUAUUUUUGGAGCUGCUACUUUAGAGUUAUGAUAGAUUGCUUAGGAAUAUGUAAUAGCGUAGUUUUUCAUUUGAAUUGCAUUGUAAGGACAAGUUUUUCCGCACCUUUUAUAAAUAAAAUAAAAUUUGGUUUUGUCUUAUUUAUAUAUUUCCUUGCAAUGGCAUGAAUGAAAAUUGACGUUCUUGUAUUUCUAGUUUUAGCGAUGUUGAAAUGGAUGUGAUUCUUAGUUAUGUUAUUUGUGAAAAUGUCGAGAAUUUACCAAAUAAGGAAAGAUUCUUGUCGCCCGAGUUUCAAUUGGACAGAAACUUGGAAUCAUACAACUUGUAUUGUAUGAUGAAUGAGAACCUGCAUAUUUGGAAAAUUAAGACUAAUUCCUUGAUAAAGAUUCGAGUGAAGGACUAGGAGAACUAGUACACAAUGUUGUGCACCAGUCAAGUCCACCACAAAGAAUAAUAAGUUUAUUCGUCAUGAUUUACUAAAAGUCUAGUAAAGGUGGUUAUACUUACAAGAUUAAGUGUAAUUCUGAAUCAUUGAAAAGUUUUAAUGAAUGGCAGACCGAAUAAGUAGAAUCAUUGAAGGCAGAAAGAUAAAAAGUUUCUCCAAUCUAAGAAGGGAGAGUACUUUUGUACCGUGUUUUAUGAUCAUCUUGGUAAUCGUAGGGAACAUAUUACAAUUCGUCCUCUAAGGAGACCUUAGUGCACUAGUCUGGCAAAGAAGAGGAAACGAGAAUUGUAGUAGUGGUUAAGUCAAUAAGAUGUAUCGUACUUCGUUCCAAAAUCAAGUCUUAGAGUCAUACUCCAAGAUUGUUACUUGAGUGACAUAAUCUUAAGUAGGAAUGUUCUUACACUUGCACAUUUUAGUAAGUUGUGAUGUCUUGAAUAAGACAAAGACCGACUAGUACCAAUUUGCGUGUAAGUUUUUUUUUGUCUUGAUAUAGACACACACUAACUCUUGAAUAUUUGUUUUGUCAAGAAAUGUUUCUUGAUAAGAGAAUCUAAUAUGUCAAGAGGUUAGUGGGAGUCUAAAUAUCUUGAAAAGUUUCAAGAACUAAUCGAGAGUAAACCUAUUAUUAAACGCUAGCACACGACUUGAGGUUUCUAACCUAUCGUGUUGACGUGUUCUUGUUUUUGUGCCAAUCCAUUUGAGUUGAUUAUGCAUAUGAGUUCUACGAGUUCUCAACAGACUGCAUAAGGCAAGCACCUUGUUCAAUGAAAGUACAUUCACUGGUAUACGUGAGCUGCUAAAUAACUUGGAAGCAAUGGUGGGACCCUUGAUGGCAAGAAAUUAAGUAUGAACAAGCUCUAUCCAUAAAGGUUUGGAUUUGUCACAAACAUUAUCUUAUGAUUAUGGUUAUGACAAAUUCACAUGGAUAUGAACACAUACACCAUAAAAUCUAAGUGUCAUAAGGUUUCUCUCCUUCAUGAAAAUGAUUGUGAGGAAAUGCUUUCACUAAGAGAGAUUUUAAGGAGAUAAUGAUUAUGUAAAUCGCAUUCUCAAAUUCGAUUAUGAUUACGACAUCCCUCUUCAUAGUUCAAAUUGUGAGAUUUAGCGAUUAGUUUGAACAUUUGGGACUUAGUAAUAUAAGUUUUGAAUAGACACACAUGCGAGCUGUCUAAGGAAAGGUGUAUGAGUUUGAGAAGCUUAGAUAAAGGCUUAUCGAAGCACAUCGUAUUGGAAAUAGGAACAUUGGAAGUCAAUAAGUAUUGUCUUCUAGAACUCCAACUGUUUUCUGAUACGUGUCAAAGCUAGUAGGAGCAUAAAUGUUAUGAUGGAAUGUAUAUAAUCAUCAUGUUAGUGAGAGCAUGAUUAUUAUUUUAAGUGUUGCAAGUUGGCAAUAUUAAUUAUAGAAAAACAAAAGUUUCACUUUGCAAAGUUGCAGGGGUCGAAAAGUUGUUUUGCUAUAGUUAAAGGAGAGAAUGUUAUACUUCGUUUCAAAUCUAAAAGCUUAGAUCGAGAAAUUUUAAUUGAAUUUAGUCAUGGAUAUAUUUAUUAAUUGCAUUCUCAAAGCUCCAUUAUGAUUACGAUAUCCCUCUUCAUAGUUUGAAUUUUGAGAACACGACAAAUAGAAAUAUUAUGGAAAUAUUAUAGCAAGAAAAUGGUAAAGUAUCACGUUUUUCGUUAUGAAUCGUAUCUCAUACGCUUCGGAUAUAGGAUCGAUUGCAUAUGCUAUAAUAUUCGACCAUUCUAAAAUUUUCCAAAUGCAUAGGGCAUUUAAAGGGAAAAUCGGAUUUGACUAAAAUAAUUAAACAACUGUCAAGAACAAUCUAAGGUUCGCCAAGGAUUGGUCGCUUGCGGACAAUUGGAAGUAUAGUCAUGGAUGGACCAUAUUGACAUUAUUAUGAAUAUAUAAGAUUAUAUUUAGAAUGAGUUGUCAUAUGGCAAAUAUGGAAAUGUUUCCUUAUUGGGAGUAGGACGUUAAGAAUCUAUGUCUAGAUUAGAAACUUCUAUGCAAGAAGGGUGUUCAAAGGAAUGUACUUUGAAUGUGAGACUUCAUGACUAUGGAAUUGUCUUGUAACAAUAUCCAAUAGAGCACUUUGUAAUUUCAUUGGCAAAGUCUUGGUGACUUCGGCGUUGUGAUAUUACGAAAGGACCGUUGCAUAAAAUGUUAGGAUCUAACAUAUUUUAGUAGUGGCGAGGAUUUUGUAUUCUUACACUAAUUGAUUAGGUUUAGGAAUUGUGAAAUGAGCAUCAUUGGAAAUGUGUUUACUUGAUCUAUUUCACAAAGUAAAGACCAUAGGUAAACAUAGUGUGCAUGCUUGGUGCAUGGGACAACUGUUGUUAUAAUUCAAGUAAGAAGCUGAUUACCAGAAACAAAAAAUAAUGAGUAAUCAAUAUGGUGAUUAAAUAAAAGGUGUUUUAUUUAUACUCAAAAGUUUGGGGCCAUAUAAGAUUAGUAUUAUUCUUGUAUUUCACUUUGCAUGUUUUGACUUCCCGAAUAAUAAGAUUAUUCAAACCCUCCACAGUCGCUCAUACUUUGGAAGUCGGUAUGAAAGAAGAUUGUCAUGAAUUCGUCUCUCGAUUGUCUAAAGCGUUUAGACAUAGCACAAGUUUGCUGCAGAGUUCAUGAGUGCUCCUAUAAGAUUAGAGUAUUGGAUUAAACCCACGUUCACUUGGAUCGCUUCAUGGAUAUUAUCACGAGUGAUUGGUGAGACGAUAAUAUCUUAUAUUCUUGAAACCAAGAUGUGUGAGUUGCAUUCUGCAAGUCGGUUGCACAUUGAUAAUAUGUAAAUGCACCAGUAACUUGGUGUUAUAAAACAUAUUGUUUUGUGUGAUUUGAUGAGUAGGUAUAAGCGAGCAUUCGAUUCGAAGUUUAUCCGUUCCUUUCACCCAAAGUAGGGUAAAAGCAAUAUAUGUGGGCCCCUCGAUGAUAUAGUGAUGACACCCUAAGCGCUUGGCCAAGCCGAGACUAAGUUGAUGUGUUCAAUUGUAGUAUGUUGUUAGUCAUCAUAAAUCGGAAAUCGGGAAACAACACAUAGACUGAGAGAAGGAUUAUAAUCCAUGUCUCAUGUAUAUAUGAUAUCUAGAACGGAGGAAUAUAUGAUCCUUAUCUAAUGGACAGGUUGCUGAUAAGAUCAGAGUUCGACGGCGUCAUUGAGAGCUAAGAUUGCUAAUCGGAUUCUACUUGCAUUUAUGGUUACUAGACUUAUCCAAGUGGGAGACUGUUGGAUUAGUGUCUAAGCCCGUAACCAUAUUUGGUAAGUACUUGACCCGAUUGUACAUGGUCCUUUUGGGUUGCCUUUACCAAAGCAACUUGUCUGGAGAUAUAAUAGAGAAAGAGGCUAUUGUGGUUUAUUAAUAUAUAAUAAGAAUAAUAUAUUAAAAGAGAAAUCAUAUUUAUUUAGUUAACAUUGGUCAAGAAUCAAUUAAGAAUUAAUUUUGUGACCAAAAUAAGUUAACUGAACUAAGGGGAUUGAACUGUAAUUAUGUGACAGUUUGGGGCCAUAUAAGAUUAGUAUUAUUCUUGCGUUUCACUUUGCAUGUUUUGACUUCCCGAAUAAUAAGAUUAUUCAAACCCUCCACAGUCGCUCAUACUUUGGAAGUAGGUAUGAAAGAAGAUUGUCAUGAAUCCGUCUGUAGAUUGUCUAAAGUGUUUAGACAUAGCACAAGUUUGUUGCAGAGUUCAUGAGCGCUGCUAUAAGAUUAGAGUAUUGGAUUAAACCCAUGCUCACCUGGAUCGCUUCAUGGAUUUUAUCACGAGUGAUUGGUGAGAUGACAAUAUCUUAUAUUCUUGAAACCGAGAUGUGUGAGUUGCAUUCUGCAAGUCGGUUGCACAUUGAUAAUAUGUAAACGCACCAGUAACUUGGUGUUAUAAAACAUAUUGUUGUGUGUGAUUUGAUGAGUAGGUACAAGCGAGCAUUCGAGUCAAAGUUUAUCCGUUCCUUUUACCCAAAGUGGGAUAAAAGCGAUAUCUGUGGGCCCCCUCGAUGAUUUAGUGAUGACACCCUAAGCGCUUGGCCAGGCCGAGACUAAGUUGAUGUAUUCAAUUGUAGUCUGUUGUCAGUCGUCAUAAAUCGGAAAUCGGGAAACAACACAUAGACUGAGAGAAUGAUUAUAAUCCAUGUCUCAUGUAUAUAUGAUAUCUAGAAUGGAGGAAUAUAUGAUCCCUUAUCUAAAGGACAGGUUGCUGAUAAGAUCAGAGUUCGAGACGUCUUUGAGAGCUACGAUUGCUAAUCGAAUUCUACUUGCAUUUAUAGUUACUAGACUUAUCCAAGUUUGAGAUUGUUGGAUUAGUGUCUAAGCCCGUGACCAUAUUUGGUAAGUGCUUGACCCGAUUGUGCAUGGUCCUUUUGGGUUGCCUUCACCAAAGCAACUUGACUGGAGAUAUAAUAGAGAAAGAGGUGUAACAUCCCAAAAUACGACCCAAAAAAUUUCGUUUUAACACUACUAAAAAUCAUAUACUUAAAGUUAUCUCAUAACAACCAUACGUCAAUAUCUCAAACCAAAAACAAGUAUCAUGAUAAAAACUGUAUCAAACUGUAUCAAAUCACAUCUAAGGAAACCGGACAAUCUCCCAGUAAUAAAAACGGAAGCUGUGGUGUGUGCUAUGCCAUCAUCCCGAGCUCUUCCCUUUGUUUGCGGAAGUACCUGAAACCAAAACUAAAAACCGUAAGCACGAAGUUUAGUGAGCUCCCCCCAGACUACCACAUACCAUAGAAUAACAUAUAAAGCACAUACUGGGCUUUGCCCACUGCAUCAGACCGAAGUCCAGAACUAACCAGGGCCUUGUCCUCUGCAUCGGACCGAAGUCUGGAACUGACCGGGACCUUGUCCCCUGCAUCAGACCGAAGUCCGGAACUAACUGCAUCAGACCGAAGUCCGGAACUGACUGGGACCUUGUCCCCUGCAUCGGACCGAAAUUCGGAACUGACUGAACAUAGCAUAACAUAAACACAUAUCAACUAGUAUAAAAACAUAUACUGCAUACUACAUCGGACUGAAGUCCGAAACACAUAACACAUACACAUGCUUGAAUCACAAAGACAUCAAGCACCCUGAACUACUACAUCGGACCGAAGUCCGAAACUGACUACUAACUAAACGGGCCGAAAUUGUGGCCGUAGACCCGUUCCUACUGGAAGGAAACUCACCUCGUAAUCUGGCUGCUGAAUGAACUGCUCGGGAAAUUGUCUGUUGCUGCUCCAGUAUCUCCCUGGCUACAAUUUCCAUAAGUACACUCAAUCAAUUAUUGAUAACUAUACUUAGGGUAAAAUGACUAUUUUACCCAUAGUCAAAGUCAACAUGCAGUUGACCUGAAUCCUCGAGUUGGGCCGCCAACUCGUCGAGUCCCUAUUCUCACUUCUCACUUCUGCUCGCUACUACUCGUCGAGUUUGGCAUAGACUCGACGAGUUCCUCUUCGAUACUAACACUUAGUAAAUCUGCAUCCGACUCGACAAGUUGUAUGAACAACUCGUCGAGCUCUUCUUCAUCACAUGCACACUCUGGCUGUGACUCGCCAAGUUGUAUGAACAACUCGUCGAGUCUGUUCUUGAGGUAUGAAGAUUGCCUUGGCCUCGCCGAGUCAGGGCAUUGACUCGCUGAGUCCCUCCAUGAAUGAGUCCGAUCUCCGACUCACUGAGUCCACCUAUAACUCAUUGGUUCCACUCGACGUAACACAUAAAAGGGGAAGAAAUCGGGGACUCGUGACUCGACUCGCCGAGUCUGAAGAACAACUCGCCGAGUCGGUUGCAUGCAAACACUACUCCGUUAAUUCUGCUCAAAUCCAUUGCAUACAACUUAUAGAUCUGGGUUCCUAAAGCUUGAUUAACACGUAAAGUUUCCAACUUUACGUGUAUAUAGGCAUCAAUGCAGGUUUAAAGGAUCAAAAUGCACUAAAAGAGUAGAUCUAGGGUGUUCAUGCAAAAAGGGUUCCAUAAAGGCAGAAGAUCUAAGCUUCUGGAGCUCAAACAUAGAUUGAUCUGAAGGCUAUUCGACAACACAUGCCUUCAAUACUAUUACCAAGCCAAAAAUGAUAAAAACAAGCCAAACAAGAGAUCUAAUUGAGGAAUGCCAAAGGUUUGAGCUUGAUACCUCAAAGAAGACUGUGAUGCCACAAAAACUCGGAUCUACUUGCUUCUCCCUUGAUUCCUCCUCUUCUCUUAUCUUCUUCUAUUCCACAAAUGAACCAUAAUUUCACAAAGUGAGAAAAUUACACCAAAAUGAUAAGGGUGGCUAGGGUUUUCGUAUGAGGCUUUUCUGUGGGUGAGGGAGGCUACUGAAUGCCCAAAGAGUUGUUUAAAUAGGGUACAAACCCGGGGAUUUAGGGUUUUAUCCAGACUGAUGGACUCAUUGAGUCCCGGAUUUGGACUCGUCGAGUCGCCCACUUACACGUGCUCGAAAUCCUGUCUCUACUCGACGAGUUGGGCUACUGACUCGUCGAGUCCCUCUUGAAACUCGAAGAAGAAUAACAUUAAAAUAACAUACCAGAAUCGGGGCGUUACAAGAGGCUAUUGUGGUUUAUUAAUAUAUUAUAAGAAUAACAUAUUAAAAGAGAAAUCAUAUUUAUUUAGUUAACAUCGGUCAAUAAUUAAUUAAGAAUUAAUUUUGUGACCAAAAGAAGUUAACUGAACUAAGGUGAUUGAUAAUUAUGUGAUAGUUGCAAAGUAGGGCAAAGGAUGCCCUAUACGAUAUGGUGGACGAAUUCAAGGGGAUGAGGCCUUACAAUUCGUCCAUGAUAAGGUUUCUAGGGUUAUCAUUUGGACUGCUUGGUGGGCAAGCAAUCGGAUAAGGACAAGGACUAAAACCCUAAUUCCUGCACCUAUAUAAAGACCCCUUGGCAUAAGAAAUUCGGCCACUUGAUACCUAGGGUUCCUAGAGCCGAAUUUCAUACCUCCCCUCUCUUUCUCCCUUGCCUCUCCAUUUGCUCUUGGUGUUUGUGAUCAAUUAGAGGUACUACACUUGUGGUACCUGCUUUCAAAGACAAUAAGAUUCAAGAUACAAGUUGGUAUUACAUCAUAACAACAAGAGGUAUGUAUUCCAUUCUCCAUUGUGUUUUUUCGAAAUUACCUAGGAGCAUGAUAGGUUUCUUUUGUGUUCAUAAUGUUGUAUAACUAAUAGUGAAAACAUAGAUCCAUAUCUAGGGUUGCUUGCACACAUAGGAUUGUUUGUAAAAAAACCCAUCAACCACAACACCCUAACAAUACACAUGCACCUGGGGGUCACUCAACCUCACCCCUAGAGGAAGGCUAACUGUCUCACAACUGACCUACCGGCCUCACACAAACCACUCAUCCAGGAAACUUCCACUAACCCUGCAGCACUAGCGUAUGCUAGCCAUACAUAACGUUGGACCCUAUAGACUUUUGAAUAUCUGAUCCUACCCUAAGCCCCUAAUCGACUAGAAAAAAACAUAAGGUCGAAUCAAGCAUUCUUAGGCUAUAAGAUCUUAAUUAUGUACAGUCGUGGUACAUACACAAGUAACUACAGUAAUGAUGCCAAUCUCAUAUAAGGAAACCCUAGGCUAGUAGGCAUCAUGAAAUCAGACAAUUCUAUCAUGCAAUUCCUGAAGAUCCUAGCCUAGUACUAGCAUGUUGUUCUAACAUAUCACAAUAUCAAAUAAUCGUUUGGUAUUUUGGGGUCUACUUACUGGCUAUGGCUAAUCAUACACCCUGUAUCCUCCUUUACUUAUUUUGAAAACCAUUUGAAAAUCAUUUUAAAAAUCUUUUCCUUGAUUUGAGACUGGAGCCACACGAGUGCUCCUCCAAUUCACUCAAACUAAGGCUCUGAUACCAACUUGUAACACCCAAAAAAAAUGCAAGCCAAUUUAAAACUUUUCAAAACAUUAAAAACCAACAAUUACUACAUGUUUAUUUUCAAAAUAGUCUAUAUCAGAUUUUUCCCAGAAAUAUAAACAAAACAUGAGGAGUUGUACGAUCAUGCCUUCGUCUUGCCGCGAUCCCCUGAUGUACCUGAAACAAUAAACUGAAACUGUAAGCCUGAUAGCUUAGUGAGUUCCCUCAAAAUACCGAUACACUGCAUAUAACACAUAUACAAAUAACAACAUAUAUUGGGUCCACAACUUUACAGACGCUUUCGGGCCCACAACUCACAUCCGGAUUGCCAUUGAGCCCACAGUACGAGUCUCCCUCAACUCGUAUCUGGAAUGCUCCCGGGUUUGUUGGUUACCGCACGAAGCAGUUUCACCUUAACCCAUACUACAUAAUAUGUCGACAUAUAACACAACUAAUGCACAUACAGAUAAUCACAUAAUACUACAGGUAGUCCUACGGGACUACCUAAUUGAUAUAACAACUAGCAUGCAGACAGUCAGACCAACUAUAGGUCACUAAGCAUAACCACAUCCGAUCUACCAGGAUACCGGUCUAACAGAUCAUACUAGCAUAUAACCAUCCUAUCCACCAGGAUAUCGAGCUAACAUAUCACAACAGUAAUAAUUCCAAUAACCAAACAAAGGGCCGACCUUGGUGCCUUAGACCCUUGAGUACAGUAAGGAUAACUCACCUCGCAACUGUCAACUCGAAAAAUAAGCUCAAACUCUCGGAUCACCUCCACAAGCUCCACCAACUAUAUUCGCCACACAACGAUGUUCAUAAAUUCCCAAAAUGCCCCAGAAGUCCAAUAGUCAACCCUUGGUCAAAGUCAAAGUCAAUUGUCAAUGUCAACAGUCCAUGUUGACCUGAACUCGUCGAGUACAACCAGCCACUCGCCAAGUUCCUUGCAUAACUCGUCAACUCGGCGAGUCACUUGAGUAACUCGUCGAGUUCCUAGUGUUUGUGGUCGUGAACUCCUUAGCCAACUCGACGAGUUUCCCUUACAACUCGCCAAAUUCACGUGUAUCCAAAGGUUGGGAAAACCCUAGUUGACUCGCCAAGUCAUUCUACCGACUCGCCGAGUCUACAACAAUCUUCAUCAGACUCGUCGAGUUGACCAUGCAACUCACCGAGUCCCUUCAGUCCUUCAUCCAAAGAGAUUCUUUUUAAUCCAUGCUAAGGUUCCAUAUUGCAGAUCCAAAUCCCCAAGGCAUGGUUAUCAUGUAAAGUUGCAAAAUUUACGUGCAUGCAAGGCUCUAGAGACUCUAAAUGACUAAUACAAGCUUGCAAUGGAGUUUUACACCUUAGGAGAGUCUUAUCCUUGCAAAAGCUGGAAGAUUUAUGGACUUAGAGACCCAAGGGAGUUCAGAUCUGAAGUUGAAACUUCAGAUCUUAGCUCAAACACAAGAAAGGCCUCCUAAUAUGCUAGAAAAGCCUUAAAAUCCACCCAAAUGAGAUCUAGAAUGAAAUGAGGUCAAGAUGACGGCUUAAUACCUUCCAAAGGAUGCCAACUGAGGUAGAUUUCUGAUUCUCACACGUUCCUUGCUUAUAGUAAUUUGUUCUCCAAGAUUUUCUCACCAAAAAUCCUAUUCCAAAGCUUGAACACACAAAUGGAGCACUCUCACACGAAUUAGGGUUUAUGGAAUAUCAAGAGGCUAUAAGGGGAGGUUGAAGAGGCCAAUGAUCCUUUAAAUAGGGUGAAAAUCCCCGGAAAUUAGGGUUUCAUCAUCCAGCUCCUACUCGUCGAGUCCUUUCUUGGACUCGUCGAGUAGGUCACUUAAACAUGUGGACCAACCCACUGCUACUCGACGAGUCAGGGAAACAAACUCGUCGAGUAGACCUUGAAAUCAAGAAAAUCUUAUAACCAAAAAUCAAUACCUGUGAAUUGGGGAGUUACACUAAUCGUCAUUUCGUGUGAAACCCUAAGCGUCAUUUCAUGUGAUGUGGUCACUGUUGCAAGUGACUAUGACCUAUGAUCGGGUAUUGACUCAAGUAUCUUCUUGUAGGUGUUUGGAAGUAAGUUGAAGCUGGUAUAGCCCUUCAUUACUAUAGUGGUUUAUGUACGCACAUCGAUGUAAGUUUCGCCUCAUUGUAACCGUGGGUCGAAGGCACCAAUGCCGACCCACUAGUAUUGAUUAUAUGCUCGUAGAUGGAUGAUCUAGGGAUUGUAUAUAGUCAUGUAGGAUAUACUGAGGACUCUUGAUCUAAGCUCUCUUACAUGUUCCUUGUUUGGUUGUGGCUUUAGAGUAUGAUCAACUAUCCGGGCGACUAUCUCACCUCUGAGUAUGUACGGUUAUGCAUUCCUUGGAUUGUUGAUAUUUAGUAUGUUGUUAUGCUGUAGUGAUCUAUCAGAUCUGUGUUCUGGUAUUGAGUAUGCUGUUAUGCUGUAGUGAUCUAUUAGAUUUGUGCUCUGGUAUUGAGUAUGUUGUUAUGUUGUUAUGAUAUGUAUGUUUUGUGCUUGGUUGUUGAUUGAUUAUGUGUUGUGAGUAUGUCGACAUAUGUAUGUGUAUGUUUGGGUUGAGAUGAUCCUGCUUUGUGCUAAAGGCCAACAGAACCAGGGUGGCCCGAAUAGACUGAAGGCCUUGCGAGGCGGACCAGUCAGACUGAAGGCCCGACAAGUGGUCCAGAUAGGCUGUAGGCCCUAUGAGGCGGUCCAGACGUGUCGAAGGCUCAGGAGCGGUACGGAUAGGCUGUAGGCCCUACGAGGCGGUCCAUUCAGGCUAAUGGCUCAUUGAUCUGUUAGUUUUGUAUUCUGGUAGAUAGGAUGGUGCUAUGCUCAUUGAUUUGUUAGAUCUUUAUCCUGGAUAUAGGAUGAUGUUAUGAUCAGUGAUCUGUUAGAUCUGUAUCCUGGUAGUUAGGAUGGUGUAAUGGUUAGUGAUUUGUUAGACCUGUUGACUGUUUACACAUGCUAGCUAGCUUUUGAUAUCUAUGUGUUGAUUGUGUUUGGUUGGGUUGAGGCGGUCCUGCUUUGUGCUGAAGGCCAACAGACUUAGGGUGGACCAGAUAGACUGCAGACCCAUUAGGGCAUACCAAUUAGGUCGAAGGCCCAGAGAACGGUUCAGACAGGCUGAAGGCCCGGGAGGGUGGACCAGACAUUUUGAAGGUUAUGAUUAGACAGGAUGGUGCUAUGCUCAUUGAUUUGUUAGAUCUUUAUCCUGGAUAUAGGAUGAUGUUAUGAUUAGUGAUCUGUUAGAUCUAUAUCCUGGUAGUUAGGAUGGUGUAAUGGUUAGUGAUUUGUUAGACCUGUUGACUGUUUACACAUGCUAGCUAGCUUUUGAUAUCUAUGUGUUGAUUGUGUUUGGUUGGGUUGAGGCGGUCCUGUCACACCCCCGAACCAGACGGCGGAAACGUCCGGGGGCUGUCGUGACUCAAUUGAAUACCAUAACAUUGAAUAUAUAUGAAACAAACAACAUUCGUCACCAUUCAUCAACAUAAUACAACCAGUAGUGUUUACAUGUCAUACAUUGUUUGAGAUAUUACAUUUCCAAAAAUUAAUAUUGUUUGGUUCAUUCAAAAAUAAACUGCAACCGUCACUGAGCAUGAUUUCCCUUGACUCACUGGUUUCCUGAGAAUACAAGUAUUUUGAAAAACGUCAACAUAUGAAAUGUUGGUGAGUUCAUAAGUAGUGUUUGAAAUCGAAUGUUUAUAUUGUUUGAAAAACCACCAGAAAAUCCGAUAUUUUCUGAAAAGAAAAGCUUUCAAAAACGUUUGUGAAGAUCCAUAGGUAUGCUUGUUUGUUUCUAUACUUGCAAAAAAAGUUGUUCAUUUAAGAUGUAUGCGUUUAAAAUCUGUAUGUGAUAAAAACCCUAGGGAAACCCGAUGUUCCCCUAGUUCUUUUGAAAUCCAUUGAGUUGCGUUGAAACCAUUACAAAAAUAGUAGUAUCGGUCCCAAGCGACGUUGGAAGGUUCUCGAGCAUUGAUUAUUUACUACAAACCCGCAUUACACAAAUGCCCGGUUUAUAGAUAUACCAACGAUUCCCGAAGGCGUCGUCAGUACUAAUCACGUUAUCCAAUCGCCCGGACUAUGAGUGGUCCCACAUCCGAAGAGAAAGAGGUCACGAAGACCCCGGUAACUCUAUUAACCGGCUGGGGAAAAAUGUGUGCGAGGGGUCCCCGACCCGCCUCGUAAAAUGUGUAGACUUUUCUAGCAAUACCAUGGCCCUUGGGGUCCAAUGAUACAAGCCAUUGAAAGUCACCCUACGUUGUGCCAAGUCGGUAAAACUCAACACUUCGUAGAAAAAAAAAUUUCUUCGGGCCUUAAGAUCAGGUCAUUGGGCUAGCUAGGCCCAACAAACAAGAUUUUACACUUUUGGGGCCCGAAGAUGGUGCGUAGACGUCUGUGCACACUCGUAUGUAUGUGUAUUACCAAUCGUUAUUUGUAUGUAUCAAAGAGUUAGUAGUUGUAGAUUUCCAUUGGCUCGAGACCGAGCCAAUUCGUUUAGCAACGACUUUUGGUAUUGUAAUGAGUUGUAUUUCGUUGGUAGUUGAGGUGUCAUUAUUUGAUCACAUUGUACAUAAUGAAUCAGCCUUGAAAUAUUUCUGUUUUCAGCCCCUCAUUAUUUGUAAAAUUUACAUUUUCAACCCUUUUAUUUAAAUAUUUCCCGGUUUGGUCCUUAAACUAUUUUUCUUGACAUUUUAACACCAAAAAUUAUUGAAAUUAAUAUUUUCCAGCAUAUUUUUCAAAGAAAACAGUUUAAGUCCCUGAAAAUGCAGUUUUUCUCGGUUUUAGCCCAUCUUUUCGCAAUUUUGACAAUUUUGGCCCAAAAUGGAAAAUUUUUGCAACUUUGGUCCUUUUUAAAUUUAAAAAGCAUUUUAAACCUUUGAAAAGGGUUUGGGACACUUAUAGUCCACUGUUUUACAGAAAGUUACAGUUUUGGCCCUCCAAAACAGAAAAAUUCGCAUAAUGGGCCUUAUUGGGCCGAAAUUUGCAUUUUUAGCCCAAUAGGCUUGAAAUUUAUGUUUUUAAUCCACCAAUUGAAUAGAAUUCCAGAAAUAGCUUUAUUGAAACUGUUUUGACACAUUUCAACCAUCAGAAUCUGUAAAAUGUCAUUUUGGGCCCUUAAUUUUGUAUUUUUCACAUUUUUGGCCCAAAAUGUGUGUUUUUAGCUUAAAGAAAAUUGUUGCUAACCACUUGGCUAUUUAUCUAGUAUCACUUAUUAUGUAGGAACAUAUUUGAAGCUAAUAUCAUAAAACAUGAGUUAUAUCUCGGUUUUGAGGGGUUUAAUGGCUAGAUCCAACAUUAAAACACAUAUAAGCAUACAUAUAAGCAUGGAAAUCAUACAAGGCAUACAAAUACAUAUAGAUCUACACUUUCACUUGUAUUCCCCCCCACAAAAACUCUUAAAAACAGAAAAUAGGGGUAUGAAUCUCACCUUGAGUGGGUAGUUUCGGUUCUUGAAGAAAAAUUGGAAGAAAUGAAGUGAUUUUUGGCCCUUGCACUCCUUGAUGAACUUUUCGAGAUUAUGGGGUUUCUAGAGUGCAAGAUCACGGUUUUUACAUGGAUUAGGAAGAGAUUUUGAUAACAAAAGAAUUUAAACCAUAGAUCUAUGCAUAAUCUUACCUUAGAUGAUGAUUUACUUGCAAAAUCCUCUUGGAAAGUCCCUAAAUUUCGAGAUCUUUGGAGAGGGGAGGGAAGGAGAGUUCUUUGAGUGUUCUAGAGAGAAAGUUGAGAUAUUUUGGUGUGUGUGAUGAUGCUUGGCCGAGAGUGAGAGAGGAGAGAAGAAGAAAUGACUUUUGAAGUGAUUUGCAUGGAGAUAUGGACUAAGAUGCAUGGAGACAUGUUGGGUAAUAAUGAGGUGGCAAGCAAAUAGUCAACCCUUCUUCUUGGGCUUUUCUUUUGGGCCGAAAAUGGGAAGGAAAAAAAAAGUUUUUGGGCUUUUUGCUCCUAAGCCCAACAUUAGUGUUAAUUAGGGUAUUUAUUGGACUUAUAAAAUAAAAUUGUGAUUUUUGUGCUUUAUUAAGCUAGGUUAGGUUUAAUUAUGGAUCAAAACUUGUGUUUUAUUUCCUUCUAGGUUCUACCUAGCCCAAAAUAUUGAAAUAAACGAAUGUGGGUCCAAUUAGAGCCCAAUUAGGGUCCUAAACCCAUGAUAGUCCAAUUGGAAGCUUAUUGGUCCAUUUGGAUCCAAUAAGGAAGUCUUAGUCCAAAAUGGACUUAACCAAAACUUCUAGGGUCUCCAAUUGUUUGAUGACUAUCUAUAGUACUUGUAUCUUGUAUUUGGUUAAAGUUUUUGAUUCACAUUAACUUGAAUGUAUAGAUUACAUAGCUUAAAAUUCACAGUUGUGACAUCAUCCCCCCGUUAGAGGGAAUUUCGUCCCGAAAUUCUGUUUGAAAGCUAGAUUUGAGAAAACUAGAAUAGGUGAGGGUACUUCUGCUUCAUUUGAUCUUCGCGUUCCCACGUGAAUUCUGGCCCACGCUUUGCGUUCCACCGUACCUUCACGAUCGGGAUGCGACUCUGCUUAGUACGCUUCACCUCCCUGUCCAUGAUUUCGAUUGGUUCUUCGACGAACAGGAGAUUCUCAUUGAUUUCGAUUUCGUCAAGAGGAAUGACAAGGGUUUCAUCUGAUAGGCACUUUUUCAGAUUAGAAACAUGAAACACGGGGUGCACACCGUUUAGCUCCGGGGGUAGUUGUAGUCUGUAGGCUACCGGACCUAUUCGGGCGACGAUUUCGAAAGGUCCAAUGUACCGUGGGUUUAGCUUUCCUCGUUUUCCGAAACGUAUAACCCCUUUCCAGGGUGAGACCUUCAACAAUACUCGAUCACCGACCUGGAACUCUAAGGGCUUUCGCCGUUUAUCAGCGUAGCUCUUUUGCCGGUCACGCGAUGCCUGUAAUCGAGCUUUGAUCUGGACAAUCUUUUCUGUGGUCUCGCGAAUGAUUUCCGGUCCUGUCAUUGCCCUAUCCGACGUAUGUGUUCUUGCUAGCUGGGUGUCACCUACUUCAGCCCAACAUAACGGUGAUCUACAUUUACGCCCGUACAGUGCUUCGAAAGGGGCCACCUUAAUGCUCGAAUGAUAACUAUUGUUAUAUGAAAACUCGAUCAACGGUAGGUGGGUAUCCCAAGACUUUCCGAAGUCUAUCACACAUGCACGAAGCAUGUCUUCAAGCGUCUGAAUGGUUCGUUCGCUUUGACCGUCCGUUUGUGGGUGAUACGCGGUGCUCAUAUCAAGAUGAGUUCCCAUUGCCUUGUGGAGCGACUGCCAAAAGCGUGACGUGAACCUACUGUCCCUAUCCGAGAUGAUAGAUUUUGGCACUCCAUGAAGUCUUACAAUCUCUCGUAGGUACAAACGCGUCAGCCUCUCCAUCUUGUAGGACUCUUUGAUUGGCAGGAAAUGGGCAGAUUUCGUCAGUCGGUCGAUUAUUACCCAUAUGGUGUCCAAUCCGUCCGACGUCUUGGGCAGCUUGGUCACGAAGUCCAUAGAAAUCCCCUCCCAUUUCCACUCAGGGAUUGCCGGUUGCUGUAACAAUCCGGAAGGUUUCUGGUAUUCCACUUUUACUUUGGCACACGUAAGGCACUUACUAACAUAAGUUGCGAUUUCCGCCUUCAUGUUAGGCCACCAAUAGUGCUGCUUAAUGUCCAAAUACAUCUUGUCCGAACCAGGAUGAAUGGAGUAUCGUGUCUUGUGGGCUUCCUUCAUAACGGUCUCCCUGAAUCCUCCGAUUUUUGGAACCCAAAUACGGUUCAUGAAGUAGUAUACCCCAUUCUCUUUGACUUCCAGGUUCUUCUCCAUUCCGCGUAAUGCCUCGCUAGUUCUAUUUUCCGCUUUCAUAGCCUCUGCCUGGACUGAUGCAAUUUGAGUGGUCAGAUGAGACUGAAUGGUUAUCGAGUGCGUUUUCGUACGGCGAUUUGUGUAUUCCUUCCGACUUAAUGCGUCAGCUACCACGUUGGCCUUGCCUGGAUGGUACUUGAUCUCGCAUUCGUAGUCGUUUAACAAUUCCACCCAUCUUCGUUGUCUCAUGUUCAGCUCCUUCUGAUUCAAGAUGUGCUGGAGGCUCUUGUGGUCCGUAAAGAUGGUGCACUUUGUACCGUACAGGUAGUGCCUCCAAAUUUUUAGAGCGAAGACCACAGCUCCCAGUUCUAGGUCAUGGGUUGUGUAAUUUACUUCGUGCGCCUUUAGUUGACGGGACGCAUAUGCUAUCACUCUUCCACGUUGCAUGAGAACGCAACCUAAGCCUUGAUUUGACGCGUCACAGUAAACUACAAAAUCUUCCGUUCCUUCAGGUAGAGAUAGUACAGGAGCGCUGCAAAGAGCUUGCUUCAAGGUUCGAAACGCAAUCUCUUGUCGGUCUGUCCACUUGAAUGGCACACUCUUUUGCGUAAGCAAGGUAAGUGGCUUGGCGAUUUUUGAGAAGUUUUGGAUGAAUCUCCUAUAGUAGCCUGCUAGGCCUAAGAACUGACGAAUUUCUGUGGGCGUAGUCGGAGUUGCCCAUCCUUCCACAGCUUUGACCUUAGAGGGAUCCACAUGAAUUCCAUCUUGGCUAACUACGUGACCUAGAAAAUUCACGCUCCGUAGCCAAAACUCACACUUAGAGAGUUUGGCGUAAAGCCUUUCCGAUCGCAGCGUUUCUAGGACUUGUCGGAGAUGUUGGCCAUGCUCCUCUUUGCUUCGAGAAUAGACGAGGAUGUCAUCGAUAAACACAAUGACGAAGUUGUCCAAGAACGGUCGACAGAUUCGGUUCAUUAGGUCCAUAAAUGCGGCAGGUGCAUUUGUUAGACCGAAGGGCAUUACGACGAAUUCAUAAUGUCCAUAGCGGGUUCGGAAAGCGGUUUUAGGAAUAUCUUCUUCUCGGACCUUGAGUUGAUGGUAUCCGGACCGUAGAUCUAUUUUAGAAAAAUAGCUAGCUCCUUGGAGCUGGUCGAAUAGAUCAUCGAUUCGCGGGAGUGGGUAGCGGUUUUUAACAGUGAGUUUAUUCAACUCUCUGUAAUCGAUGCACAUUCUGAAAGAUCCGUCCUUCUUUUUGACAAAGAGCACCGGAGCUCCCCAUGGCGAGUAGCUAGGUCGGAUAAAUCCCUUGUCCAGAAGCUCACUGAGUUGGCUGGACAAUUCCUGCAUUUCAGCAGGUGCCAACCGAUAUGGUGAUUUAGCGAGAGGAGUUGCUCCUGGAACGAGGUCGAUUCGGAACUCAACCUGUCUCUCUGGGGGUACUCCUGGAAGAUCUUCGGGAAACACGUCCGGAAAUUCACACGCUACCGGAAUGUCUUGGAUGUUAGUUUCUUCUUUGGUCUUGUCCACUAUGUGGGCCAAGAACGCUAAGUUGUUCUUUCGCAGAUGUUUUUGUGCUUUGAUGCACGAGAUAAGACGAAGAUUCGUGCUAGGUUUGUCUCCGUAAAUUACUAGGGUUUCGUGAUUCGGGAGACGAAGGCGAACGGCCUUCUCGUGGCACAUAAUCUCAGCAUGGUGGGGGCUUAACCAAUCCAUGCCGAUAAUCACAUCGAAACUCCUAAUUGAUACUGGCAUUAGGUCUAUUCGAAAGACGUGCUGGUUAAGGGUUAGGGUACAUCCGAUGUAGAUCUCCCUAGUGGAUUCGGUUUUCCCAUUGGCCAUUUCCACCGUAUAGGUUUCAUUUAGCUUCUGGGGUUGUUGUUUUAGUAAAUGUUUAAACUUCUCGCUUACGAAACUUCGCUCCGCUCCGGUAUCAAAUAAGAUGCAUGCAUAAGUGUGGUUUAGGAGAAACGUACCGGUCACAACUGCGGGAUCUUGAACUGCAUCACUCUGACCCAUAGUCAGCAUUCUUCCUGUUCCUCUGUUUCCGGAGUUGUUGUUGUUGUUAGGGCAAUCUCGACGGAAAUGUCCCGUCCUUCCACACCCGAAACAGGUGUGGCUAGGCCCUGCGUUGUUGCCGCCGGCAUUGGUGUUGUUGAUGUUGCGGUGAUUGUUGUUGUUGUUCUGGUUGUUUCCCUGACUCUGGUUCUGAGAAGGAUAAGUCCUGCAGAACUUUGCAGUGUGUCCCCUUCGGUUGCAACUGGUGCAAUGGAACUCCCUACAUUCUCCUUGGUGAUGGAAACCGCACUUGUUGCAUUUGGGAUGAGUGCCGGAAUAGGGUCUUGAAGUAUUUGAAGUAGCUGAGGCUGGAGCAUGUGAUGUGACUGGUACCGGCGCAGUGACAGCGUGAACUGCCACCGUUUGCUGCUUUUUAGAGGUCUCGGGACCUUGACGCCCCUUCCUCUUGUUGUUCCAUCCCUUCUUACCAUCGCUCUCCUUCUUCUUCUCAGUCUCUACCGGUUUCUCGCCCUUUUUGUGGUUAUGAUCAUAGAGCCUCUUUGCCAAUCUCUUCGCGCUGUCAAACGUUUCAGGGUUAGCAGCUAUCACAUUCCCUUGAAUGGGGGAUGUCAAUCCCCAAAUGAAUCGUUCAAUCUUCUUCCCCUCUGAUGUGAUCAUACCCGGGCACAACAGAGAUAGUUCGCUGAAUCUCGAUAUGUAAGCAUCGAUGUUCCCAUUCUGCACCGUGAGAUUCCAUAGUUCCUGCUCCAUCUUCUGUAUUUCGCCUCGGGGGCAGUACUCAGCCGUCAACAUCUCUUUCAUCUCUGCCCAGGGAAUAGAGUUGGCGACAGGGAGUGUCAUAGCUUCCACAUGACCAUUCCACCAAGUGAGUGCUUGGUCCACAAAAGUGCAGGCCGCGAACUUCACUUUCAUCUGCUCGGGGCACUCGCAUAUCUCGAAUACCGACUCUACCUUCUCGAUCCAUCGCUUUAGGGCGAUCACUCCUCCGGUACCGUUGAAAGUUCGGGGUUUAGCGUUCGCAAAAUCCUUGUAGGUGCACGUUUUAGUGAGUCCUUGGUUCGUCCCGUUGUUCGAACUUCCGGAUCCUUGCCCGUUACCUCCUCCGUUGUUCCCUCGGUGAAGUUGUGCCAUAGCCGCUGUGACCGCAGCAGACACGGCUGCCUGGAAAGCAGUGGAGUCAACUUCCGGCGGGGUUGGUUCGGGAUUUCCGCGAGUAGCUGGGCGAGGCAUCUUUCUGUCAUGAAACGGAAAGAUGUUGAGUGUACGUGGUUUCGGUGAGGUUAUGAUCCUACUAACUAGGUGUAGGGUACGAACCUAAGCAUUACUAUCAUCAAGCAUACAAUCAUAACACCUCAACACAUAACAACUGAGAAUAUCAUAGCAAAACACACAAAAGUUUAUUAAUAUUAUCCGUGUUUAGUACAAGAAAAUUUGCUCGUAGGAGCAUACAUAAGUAACACUAAUCCGACAGCAUAACGGCUCCAUGAGUAGUGUAGUCACUUAAACAUAGAGCCGGAGUACAUAACAUAGUUACUAAUAUCCUACUACGAUAGGUCUAUCCCUAACCGCGAUGAGCUGCGUCAGGAGGUGGUGCCGAAGUCAUAUGCCGAAAUGUUGCGCCAGUAGCUGCGCCAUCUCUGCCAUGUCUCCUAUAACUUCAUCCCUCUCGUGCUCUGCUCUCACUGCCCGAGCUUCCAUAGCAUACAGCUGUUGUCGCAGUGCGGCGAUCUCAGCUUCGAGGGAACGGUUCUCCCUUGGGGGGUUCACUGGUGGAGCGGGGUGAUCUGGUUGUGCCUCGUCCUCGCAUGGUGGGAUGGGGUCCUGGCCCCCGACCUGACCCUCCUCGUCGUCAUCGUCGACCUCUCCAAAUUCGUAGUCGGUGUCUAUAUAUUCGUCGGGUUCGACGUCGUGUGCUUCUCCUGGAUGCUCUCCCGGCUCAUCCACCAGCAUCCCGUGAGCUACUAAGGCCUGAUGAAACUGGAUACCCGGCUGCUCCUCCUCAGGCUCCUCCUCCUCCUCUAGCCACCCGUUGUUUCCCUGAUUAGGGAAGUAGGGGUCUCCAGGGUGAUGAAAACCAGCCAUGCUGUCUGCGCGAGUACGUAAUUAUGCUACAUUAUUCCUAGGGUACUAUGACUAUUACACAGACUAAGCAAAUAUUCUCUUUUUGGGUGAUAUAGGGUAUAAUUUUUAGGUUCCCUGGCUAUUCCGAUCUCAUCAAGACAUGUGUUAGUUUUACCUUGGAGAGAAUGUAGUUGAUCAGGCUACAUUCACUCCUUGGUAUCACUAAGAACAGUCCCGAAUUAACCGAGAUACCAGUAUUAUGGUGUUUGAUUCAGCGUUAGGUCCUUACUCCUAAUGCAAGCAAGUGUAUUUUAUUCAUUUGUUUUGUUCAGAGUUAUGUUAGUCCCUCUUUUUGGUUUAUAGUUGCAUAUCAAUGUAUGGCUCGACAUGCUAGUUCACUAUAAACAAAGCUCUGAUACCAACCUGUCACACCCCCGAACCAGACGGCGGAAACGUCCGGGGGCUGUCGUGACUCAAUUGAAUACCAUAACAUUGAAUAUAUAUGAAACAAAACAACAUUCGUCACCAUUCAUCAACAUAAUACAACCAGUAGUGUUUACAUGUCAUACAUUGUUUGAGAUAUUACAUUUCCAAAAAUUAAUAUUGUUUGGUUCAUUCAAAAAUAAACUGCAACCGUCACUGAGCAUGAUUUCCCUUGAUUCACUGGUUUCCUGAGAAUACAAGUAUUUUGAAAAACGUCAACAUAUGAAAUGUUGGUGAGUUCAUAAGUAGUGUUUGAAAUCGAAUGUUUAUAUUGUUUGAAAAACCACCAGAAAAUCCGAUAUUUUCUGAAAAGAAAAGCUUUCAAAAACGUUUGUGAAGAUCCAUAGGUAUGCUUGUUUGUUUCUAUACUUGCAAAAAUUGUUCAUUUAAGAUGUAUGCGUUUAAAAUCUGUAUGUGAUAAAAACCCUAGGGAAACCCGAUGUUCCCCUAGUUCUUUUGAAAUCCAUUGAGUUGCGUUGAAACCAUUACAAAAAUAGUAGUAUCGGUCCCAAGCGACGUUGGAAGGUUCUCGAGCAUUGAUUAUUUACUACAAACCCGCAUUACACAAAUGCCCGGUUUAUAGAUAUACCAACGAUUCCCGAAGGCGUCGUCAGUACUAAUCACGUUAUCCAAUCGCCCGGACUAUGAGUGGUCCCACAUCCGAAGAGAAAGAGGUCACGAAGACCCCGGUAACUCUAUUAACCGGCUGGGGAAAAAUGUGUGCGAGGGGUCCCCGACCCGCCUCGUAAAAUGUGUAGACUUUUCUAGCAAUACCAUGGCCCUUGGGGUCCAAUGAUACAAGCCAUUGAAAGUCACCCUACGUUGUGCCAAGUCGGUAAAACUCAACACUUCGUAGAAAAAAAAUUUCUUCGGGCCUUAAGAUCAGGUCAUUGGGCUAGCUAGGCCCAACAAACAAGAUUUUACACUUUUGGGGCCCGAAGAUGGUGCGUAGACGUCUGUGCACACUCGUAUGUAUGUGUAUUACCAAUCGUUAUUUGUAUGUAUCAAAGAGUUAGUAGUUGUAGAUUUCCAUUGGCUCGAGACCGAGCCAAUUCGUUUAGCAACGACUUUUGGUAUUGUAAUGAGUUGUAUUUCGUUGAUAGUUGAGGUAUCAUUAUUUGAUCAAAUUGUACAUAAUGA
rnacentral:lncRNA from 1 species